UUUUUUUUUUUUUUGUGGGUUUGUGGUUGGUGUUUGGAGAGGGGGGGGGGGGGGCGGGUUUUAUAGAGCGUCCUCCUCAUCAUUCUAGUGAGUAGGAGUGCACUUACAUGGUGAGAUAAAUCAGCAUCCAUAAUGACCACAAAAUUCCCUGAGGCAUGCUUCAGGCCAUGGAUGUAAGCCGUACCUGAAACUUAACUAAAUUAAUGAUCCCUUUUGCUAGUUCAAAAACUUAAACCAAGGCCGGCCAAAGAGAUACCUAAACCAAGCUUCGUAGGUCUAGCCCUCAACGGCUGGAUUAGUAGAUAGCCUUACAUAAGUAGACCUUUCAAAGAGAUAAGCAUAGGCAAAGCAUCAACAACAUUGCGAAUUAAUACUAAAGAGGACUUACAAUGCGAUCCUCUCCAUAGACAGAUUGCAGUUGUUUAACAAUAUCCUGAGUCCCAUCUGGACUUCCAUCAUCCACAACAAUAAUCUCAAAAUUGACAUUCCUAGCCAGGUAAGGACCAAUUGUCAGAUACAAGUAUAGAUCAUGAAGAGAAUGUUGUUUGUCAUUGUUUUAGUGUACUGUUUUUCACAUCUUUAAGUAAUAUCUAUCAUCUAAUGUCAAACCAAAACCUAUGAAGCACAAUCUCAAAUAGUUAAUUUCGUACAACAAUUUGGUCCAUGUUAUUCACAUAUUCAGUUGCAAGUCCAAAGCUUCACCUUCUUACACCUAAUGGUUCCCACACCCACUCAUAACUAUAGAGCUGAAUAUGCUCACGGCUAAUCAUCUAGAAGUUUGAGUGGACAAACAAGCAAACUUUUUCACAGCAAAUCAGUUUUAAUCAGCUUAUCCUGGGCAUAUGUAUAAGAAAAACUACACUUUGUUACCAAUUACCAGUCAUGAUUGAGAGAAAAAAGUAUCCAUACAAAAUAUGUGCUACUGUGUGCAUUGCUUAUCAAUUUUCAAACAAUUCUGAAGCUAAGAUUUUGAUACUUCGCAUGAUAUCUAAAUCAAAUACCCAGAAACACUUCUUUCCAAAUUGUAAGUCAAUCACACACACAAAAGCACAAAUAAUAAUAAUAAUAAUAAUAAUAAUAAUAAUGCUAUAAUAAUAGAAAGACUAAUAAUAAUAAUAAAAGCAAAGAACUGUUCCUGUGUAACAUGGAGAUAAUUAUUUCAGCAGUUCAUAGAUGAUUCUGAUGACCAAGUAAUAAGCUGUAAGAUCAACAAAAACACUUCAUUCAAAUAAACAUAAAUAAACCUUUUGAUGCAUGCAACAAAAGAUUUAGAACGUGAAAUGAAAAAUUCACAGAAGAUAAGUGUAAAAGCCAAAAGUGCAAUGAAAGAAGCCACUAGACAAACAAAGCAGAGGCAAUGGAACAUGCAUCAUCUGUUUUAUACAUAUAUUCACAGAAAAGGAAAAGGAGAACAUGCAUCAUCAUGGAUAACUUGGUAACGAGAGAGAGAGAGAGAGAGAGAGAGAGAAAGAGAGGGUACGGGAGAUGCUUGAAGAUGAGAUAAACAAGGAGAGCAAUGUUGAGGCGCUCAUUGUAGGUGGGGAUGAUUAUACUAUACUUAUUGCUAUUCUCCUUUUGCUCAUUGCCCAUAUUCUUUCUGCAUCAAAAUCCCUCCAACCCCUAGAAAGCGCAAAUUUUUAUUGAACUGGGUUAGAGAGAGAGACGGAAGGCAAAAACAAAAACACUUACAGCUAAUGCAAGUUGUAGGUAACAACUGUUAGUAUUUCAAUUCAAACUAAAGUUCCAUCCUAUUAGUUUUGGUUGUUUGUGAUAAUUCAACCCUCUAAUACGUUAAAGAGCUAUACCCAACAAUCCACUUGUCUCAGACUGAGCUGGAAAAGAUGGAGCUCAUGUGUUCUUCUCAGCAGCUUACUCCACUUAGGUACUUGAUCCCAUCAACCAAAUUGGAUAGCAAAACAAUUUUGGUACAGCUUUAAAAGGCAUAUUUUUCUACCGCAUAAGAUUUUCAUUUAGCUCAUUCUUCUACUUGUCAAAUUAUGCCUCUUCAAUUCCCUUUUGUGUCAGCUGAAUUUCCAAAAGCAGUAUAACUAUCCUAAUUCCUUAUCAGUGAGCAAUAGCUCUAACAAAUUCUUAAAAUUUGACGGAAUAACACGACCGAUCUGAUUAAAAAAAAUCUUCUUUUAGUAUAAUAUGAAGGAAGCCCAUCUUUUCAAGUUCAAUUUCGAUUAGUUCAAGUAAAUUACAUAUUUCAUGCUCAGUAAGAGCAGUAAAAUAUCGCUGAUGUCCAAGAAUAUAUCCAAAACUUUUCGAUACGGGUUGGUAGCUGCUGUAACUACGUGAGACUGUUCGAAGGAAUAGCUCUAACAUAAGGUACCCAAAAUGUAUAAAACAGUCAAUAACGAUUACACAAAGAUUCCCAUACAAAUUCAGCUCUCCAUCUAAACUAACUGAAGAAGCGUAAUGAAAAGCUAGGAAAUUCAAUCAGUUUAACAACUUGAACUGAAAAUCAGAAACGAUCUAAUCUUAAAGACGGCAACUUUAUAUGGUUUGGAAGCUUGAAUUAUGCGCAAAUGGCCGAGACUUUGAGAAGACAAUUAUGUUAUCCAAAUAAUAAAAUAGGCUGAUACAAAAGAGAAGAAUAAAUACAACCUAGAAAGAAAGUAAUAAUCGAAAAUAACAAUAAUAACAAUCCGAGGCUUGUGAACACAAUUUCCUUAAAACAGAUUCGCCCCCUCCAGGUAGAGUGCUUGAGGUUGAGUAGGCGUCUGUCUCCCAGGAUACAACGGAUUAAAGGUGAAUAUGUCAGCACCAAACGUUCUUCACCCCAGCGAACUCGAACUAGAGCAAUAUGGAACACUAUAAAAGAUGCAGAUGCAAGAAGGAAAAAGAGAGAGAGUGUACUUGCUUUUGAAACAACAGGAGAUAUUUAUAGAUGCUAGCUUAGGGUGACUGUUCGAAAUUGGCAACAAGAGUUAAAUUCCAGAUAAUUAUCUUCACGUUUAUGAAAGGACCACAUUCAUGUACAUACAUGUAUCUCAAUAAGAUAACCCCAAAGGAAUCCUAUCCAAAAUUAUGUAUCAAUAAUUAAUACACAUGAAUCCUAUCCGAAAUCAUGUAUCAAUAAUUAAUAUACAUGAAUGAAAGAUAAUUAUCCUGAAUUCUUUCAAGAGUGCCAUUAUGAGAACAAUUUUCUCAUUCACUCUACAAUGAAUAUAGCCAUUUUUCCAACAAUCCCCCACAUGAAUGGAAAAUUUGUUUUGAUUUGACUCUACAGUAGUGUUCCACGACUGAAACCUGCAUAAGAUAGGUUGGUGUUACCCAUUGAAUCUUCUCUUGUGAAAUACACUUACUUUACUAGCAAUCCAGUAGACAUGAUGUCUUUGAACUGUCUCGCUUUUUAGUGUAAAUGAACCAUAUAUUUCACACAGGAAUCAUGCUCCAUUAGUUCAGUUCUCAUAGUUAUGUUCGUUUUGGCCAUGAACAUCAACCUGGUUCAGCAAGAGUUUUUAAGAAUUGAGCCCUAAACAAUUCUCUUUUGAAGCGGCCCCACUUCACUCUCACAUAGGUGAUUUACUUAAGUCUUCAGUAAUAAAUUACUUUACUUAAGAAUCAUUAAAGCACACAUUGUGCUAUCCUUAAUUCUCCUUUGCGUCAUUGUUUCAUAACGGAAUGGGUUUAGGGGUAUCCCCCCACAAUGACUACGCUAAGUCCUUAUAAUUAGGUUGUCCCUUUGAACCUAGAUCUUGGGAUCUCCAGUCAGCUAGGUUGGGUUUCCUUUAUAACACUUAGCCUUCCAUGGGCUUUAGUCCCAUUCCCUUUGCCAUUUUUGCAACCAACUCUCUAUUCAAUCCUUUAGUUAGCGGAUCCGCUAUGUUAUCCUUUGAUUUCACAUAAUCAAUAGAGAUAACUCCUGUUGAGAGUAGUUGUCUAAUGGUAUUAUGCCUACGACGUAUAUGUCUAGACUUACCAUUAUAUAUGUUAUUCUGUGCUCUUCCAAUUGCUGAUUGACUAUCACAGUGAAUACAAAUUGGUGGCACAGGUUUCUCCCAUUUUGGAAUGUCUUCAAGGAAAUGGUGGAGCCAUUCAGCUUCUUCUCCACAUUUGUCCAAGGCAAUGAACUCAGAUUCCAUUGUAGAUCUAGCUACAAUAGUUUGUUUAGAAGACUUCCAAGAUACUGCCCCACUGGCAAGUGUGAACACAUAUCCACUUGUGGAUUUUGAAUCCUUUAUAUCAGAUAUCCAAUUUGCAUCUGCAUACCCUUCUAAAACAGCAGGGUAUCUAGUGUAAUGCAGUCCAUAGUUCCGAGUGUACCGUAGGUAUUUAAGUACCCUUAAAAUUGCUUUCCAAUGAUCAGCACUCGGAUUGCUUGUAAAUCUGCUCAAUUUGCUUACUGCAUAUGCAAUGUCAGGUCUAGUACAACUCAUUAAGUACAUUAGACUGCCAAUGAUUCUUGAGUAUUCUACUUGAGAAAUACUCUCUCCUCUAUUCUUAGAUAGAUGGAAACAAUUGUCUAAUGGAGUUUUUGCAAUUCCAGAAUCUUCCUUAUUGAAUUUUUCUAGAAUCUUGUCCACAUAAUGAGUUUGACUCAAGACCAAUCCAUCUGAUAUUCUUGUAAUUUUAACUCCUAAAAUUACAUCAGCAAGCCCCAUAUCUUUCAUGUCAAAUUUUGAAUUCAACAUAUCCUUGGUAGACUUGACCAUUUUGUCAUUACUACCAACAAUAAGUAUAUCAUCUACAUAAAGACAUAAGAUGACAUAGCCAUUGUCUGUUUCUUUAGUGUAGACACAUUUGUCACACUCAUUUAUUCUGUAUCCAUUAGUUAUCAUUGCAUUGUCGAACUUUUCAUGCCAUUUCUUUGGCGCUUGUUUUAGUCCAUACAAUGAUUUGACUAAUUUACAAACUUUAUUUCUUGCUCCCGGAGUUAUGAAACCCUCAGGUUGCUCCAUAUAGACUUCUUCAUCUAAAUCACCAUUUAAGAAGGCCGUCUUUACAUCCAUUUGAUGUAUCUCCAGAUUUCUCAAUGCAGCGAUAGCAAGUAUCAUUCUGAUAGAAUUUAUUCUCGUAACAGGAGAAUAAGUAUCAAAAUAAUCCAAACCUUCUUGUUGCUUGUAUCCUUUGAUUACAAGUCUGGCUUUGUACUUAUCGACAGAGCCAUCAGGUUUCAUUUUCCUUUUAAAGAUCCAUUUGGACCCUAAAGGUUUACAACCAGGAGGAAGAUCCACUAACUCCCAUGUAUGAUUCUGUAAAAUAGAAUCAACCUCACUUUUUAUUGCUUCUUUCCACAAAAAUCCUUCAGAAGAACUUACAGCUUCUGUAUAGGUUUGUGGUUCCUUUUCUAAUAGAAAAGUUGUAAAAUCAUCUCCAAAUGAUUUUUCCACUCUAGCCCUUUUGCUACGUCUCGGUUCAUCUUGUUGAAACAAGUCAUGAUCAUGUUUUUCUUGAUUCAUAACUCCAUGUGUUCGUUUUGAUGAACUUGAUGCACCAAUCAAUUUACAAGGAAACACAUCUUCAAAGAAUGAAGCAUUCCUUGAUUCCAUUAUCGUAUUUUUGUGUAUAUCCGAAAUUUCUGAAUUAUACACAAGAAAUCGAUAAGCAGUACUAUUAUGUGCAUAGCCUAUAAAGAUACAAUCCACAGUUCUAGGACCUAUCUUUAUUCUCUUUGGUGCUGGAAUAGCCACUUUUGCAAGACACCCCCACACUUUCAAGUAUUUGUAGGAUGGUCUCCUACCUUUCCAUAACUCAUAAGGAGUUUUAUCUUGUUUUUUCCGGGGUACCCUAUUUAAAAGGUAAUUGCUUGACAAAAUAGCUUCACCCCACAUAUUUUGAGGUAAUUCUGAACUUAUUAACAUCGCAUUCAUCAUUUCCUUUAGUGUGCGAUUUUUCCGUUCAGCAACACCAUUCGAUUGUGGUGAGUAAGGUGCAGUUACUUCAUGAACAAUUCCAUAUUUUGCACAGUCAUCACCAAUAGGUGUUUCAUAUUCACCACCUCUAUCACUUCUUAACCUUUUAAUUCUCUGGUUAAGUUGAUUUUCAACUUCAUUCUUGUAGAGAAUGAAUUUUUCCAAGGCUUCAUCUUUACUUUUGAGCAAAUACACAUAACAGUAUUUUGUGCAAUCAUCAAUGAAAGUGAUAAAAUAUUUAUUACCACCUCUUGUUUGAACAAAUUUCAAAUCACAGACAUCUGUGUGAAUCAAUUCAAGGGGUUCGGUGUUUCUUUCAAUUGUUUGAAACGAUGACCUUGUUAAUUUUGCUUCUACGCAAAUCUCACAUUUAUGGUUUGAAUUGAUGUGAAAGGAAGGAAUAUGAUCCAAGUUAAUUAGCCUACGCAAAGUAUCAUAAUUAACAUGACCUAGUCUACCAUGCCAUAAAUUGGAAGACUCAAGCAAAUAAGCAGAAGACUUAUUCUUAUUAUUCACAAUAGUCAUUACAUUCAAUUUGAACAACCCAUCGGUUGUAUAUCCUUUCCCUACAUACAUCCCAGAUUUGGAUAAUAUAACUUUAUCCGAUUCAAAAACCAUGCGAAAGCCAUGCUUGUUCAGCAACGAUCCAGAAACAAGGUUCUUGCGGAUUUCUGGCACAUACAGAACAUCGUUCAAAGUCAAUGUUUUGCCAGAAGUCAUCUUUAGUAACAGCUUCCCUUGACCUUCAAUAGCAGAUGAGGCAGAGUUCCCCAUGAACAUUUUUUCUCCUUCAAUUUUUUCGAAGGUAGUAAACAAGUCUUUGUUUGUGCAAACAUGUCUUGUAGCUCCAGUGUCAAUCCACCAUUCUUUCGGAUUUGACCCUAUCAUAUUUACUUCAGAAACCAUAGCAGUCAGGUUCAUGUUUUCCAUGUCUCCCUCGAUUCCAUCAAGCAAAUUUGUUUCAUGCUUCUUCUUCUUUGGAAGCUUACAUUCAGUGGACUUGUGACCUUUUUUGUCACAAUUGAAGCACUUACCUUGGAAUUUCUGCUUAGAGAUUUUCCCUUUUGCCCCAAGAUUUCGAGUUGGCUUUUUGCCUUUGGAGUUUUGCCCUUGCUUAUACUCCACAAUAUUUGCUUUAGCAUCAAGAAAAGUUGUUGCCUUGCAAUCAGAACCCCUGUUGUCUUCUUCAAUUCGAAGUCUAACGAUAAGGUCCUCCAUACUCAUCUCUUUGCGCUUGUGCUUGAGAUAGUUCUUGAAAUCCUUCCAUCCAGGAGGUAGCUUCUCAAUAACAGCAGCUACUUGAAAGGUUUCACUCAAAAUCAUGCCUUCUGCUAGAAUCUCAUGCAAGAUAAUCUGAAUUUCUUGCACUUGACUGAUAACAGUUUUGGAAUCCACCAUUUUAUAGUCUAGAAAUUUUCCAACGAUAAAUUUCUUUGCUCCGGCAUCUUCGGUUUUAUAUUUCCGAUCUAAGGAUUCCCACAGUGCCUUCGCCGUCUUGUGUAUUUGAUACACGUUAUACAGCGAGUCAUGCAAGCAGUUCAUGACAUAAUUUCGACAAAGGAAGUCGGAGUGCUUCCAAGCAUCAAUAGCACUGACAGCUUGUGCAUCAGUUAAGCCUUCAGGCAGCUUUGGAGCAUCCUCACUUAAGAAUCUCGAGAGAUUCAAUGUUGUCAAAUAGAACAACAUCUUUUGUUGCCAUAUCUUGAAGUUCAGGCCAUAGAACUUCUCAGGUUUCUCACUAUGGUUGGUAGACACCAUAGGAGUAAUCUUACCUUCAGGUUGUUUCACAAUUGAGCCAGAGGCAGCGGCAUCAGAAGUAGAAAUAUUGGUGUCUCUUCCUGUAUUGUCAGCCAUUGAGAACCGAAUCUGUUUUAAGACUGUUAUCCAAAUAGUAAAAUAGGCUGAUACAAAAGAGAAGAAUAAAUACAACCUAGAAAGAAAGUAAUAAUCGAAAAUAACAAUAAUAACAAUCCGAGGCUUGUGAACACAAUUUCCUUAAAACAGAUUCGCCCCCUCCAGGUAGAGUGCUUGAGGUUGAGUAGGCGUCUGUCUCCCAGGAUACAACGGAUUAAAGGUGAAUAUGUCAGCACCAAACGUUCUUCACCCCAGCGAACUCGAACUAGAGCAAUAUGGAACACUAUAAAAGAUGCAGAUGCAAGAAGGAAAAAGAGAGAGAGCGCACUUGCUUUUGAAACAACAGGAGAUAUUUAUAGAUGCUAGCUUAGGGUGACUGUUCGAAAUUGGCAACAAGAGUUAAAUUCCAGAUAAUUAUCUUCACGUUUAUGAAAGGAUCACAUUCAUGUACAUACAUGUAUCUCAAUAAGAUAACCCCAAAGGAAUCCUAUCCAAAAUUAUGUAUCAAUAAUUAAUACACAUGAAUCCUAUCCGAAAUCAUGUAUCAAUAAUUAAUAUACAUGAAUGAAAGAUAAUUAUCCUGAAUUCUUUCAAGAGUGCCAUUAUGAGAACAAUUUUCUCAUUCACUCUACAAUGAAUAUAGCCAUUUUUCCAACAAAUUAUUGGGUUUAGGGCUUCGAAUUGGGAGUUUGAUAAUAUUAACGAGAGAAGUUCUCUCUUCUUUCGUCUCUUUCAAAAAACCGAGAAAGCAACUAUUGAUGAACGAGUGAUAGCCUCGUGGGAAUAUAAAAGUCAAUCCUUUGUUACCCGUGUUAAUUAAUGAACUGGGCGGGUUAUUUGGGCCUGGUUUUAUCCAUUUGGAUAUGAGUUUGACCCUUGAGGCUAACCUAGUGGUCAUUGACAAUCUGCGUUAGAAGCUUGCUAUGCUUGUAUGUAAGUAGUAUAGUCCAAUGCGGAUUCUCCAUCUCCUCCCAUCAUCCCUUGUAAAGUUUUAGAUUAACGUUUAAUGUACAUAUAUUUUUAUAUGAUCUAACUUAAAUUUACACCACAUUAUUUGUAUUCACAUUUGAAAUCUUUUAUAUGUAUCAUAAAUGUAGACCUCCUUGUAUAUGAAACGGUAAUCCAAAAACUGUUUACUUCAUUUAUGUGCUAGUAUUUCAUAACAUAUUCAUUUCUUGAAGGUAAUUGCUCUAGUGUUUUUCGAAUAAUCAACGAUGACAACAAUAAAGAAGCAGACUACUCACAAAGAGUGACAGAGAUCAAAACAUCGAUGAUGAUCAAUUCAUCCAAAUAAUUUCAAAGAAGUUCAAAACUAAAAUUACACUAUGCUGUUAAGCUUUAGCUACACUGGCAACACCAGGAUCGCCACAGCACUAAAGUGAGAAAAAUUUGAACCCCAGUUACUGAAAUAUGGUCCACAGAUCAAUCUUCACCAAAUCUUCUUAGAACAUAAAAAGCUAAUCAAUUUCUAUAGCUCAAUGGUUAAAUUAACACAACCCUGACAGAAAAAUCCCAACUUUAGCAGAGAAAUACAACGGCAUUACAAGAAAUGAAUCCUCAAUAAUCUAAGACUUACAAAAUGGUCAAUCCUCUCUUAAUUAACCCCUAAUGCCUCAGGUGGCCCAAAUCUUUUGUGGCAUUACGCGAAUCACAACUAUUACAGGAAACAAGAAAAGGAAAUUAAAAAAAUAAAACCCAAUUUACCAAAAGAUUAAAAGGGCCAGUAUCACGGGCAAACGACAAUUAUAAAUUAAUUAAAAAAAACUCAGAGAGAGAGAGAGAGAGAGAUCAAAUAAAAAGCCAGAGGAGUAUAGCACCUUCGAUUUAGAGGGAAAUGGGAGAGGUCGGAAAAUGUUUAGAGAGAGGAGAGAUGAGGAGCGCAACGGAUCUUCUGUCCCACACCCUGUGCCACUCUCUGUCCCACUUUUUAUUAUAUUGCUAUUUCUCAUUCAUAAACAUCAUGUUUUAGUUCUUUUUUGCUUCCUUAUGAUCCAAUAACUAUUAAUUGAGUAAUACGCAAAAUUUAACAAACUCAAAAAAUCAAAAUACAUAAAAAAUGAGAUUUUUUAUGAAUUUUCUGCUGUAUUUUUUAAUUUUCUAUUAUAUAUUAUUUUUUUGAAGGUGUUGUAUUUAUUUUUUACUUAAUUAAUAGUUAUUGGAUCAUAAGAAAACGAAAAAGAACUAAAACAUGAUGUUUAUGAAUGAAAAAUAGCAAUAUAAUAAAAAGUGGGACAGAGAGUGGCACAGGGUGUGGGACAGAAGAUCCGUUGCGGAUGAGGAGGGUGGUGGUGGACGAUGAUGACGUUGGUCCAACACGCGUUGUCUGAAGAAAGGUUUUAAGGUGACAAGGAAUUAAGGGAGAGGCCCAACGAACGCAGGGUUUGUUGGCGGUAUUACUUCUCCACUUUACUCUUUAGUCUUUUCUGUGUUUCGGAAAAUUUUUACGCUACUAUAAUUGCUUUGAUUAAAAUAAUGGUACAAGGCUAUUUCUUUUUGACCCCUAGAAGUUUGCUAAUUUCUAAAAACAGUAUACUAUUUCACUGUAAUAAUUUAUUAAACACGUACAAAUUAUUGUGCUUGUGAUACUUAACACGUUGAACUCCAAUUCAUAAGUUUUCCUCUCUCCACAUCUAAUUGAUAGACUGUAUUGUAAACCAACUCUCUUGAUUUUGGUGAAAUUUUGCAUGAUCAAGUGAUUACAUCAACUAAUACUACUGAAUCUAGCAUCUUAUUUCUAUUAAUCAAGUGUAGGUUGUAGCAUUCCUGUACAACAUUUGAGUGAUACAAAAUGGGUCAAAUGAACUUGAUAUUGGAGAAAUUUUUGGUUUUUCAUCCAUGACGAUGGGCUAAUUAAAAUUGUAAUAGCCUCGUGGGAAUAUAAAAGUCAAUCCUUUGUUACCCGUGUUAAUUAAUGAACUGGGCGGGUUAUUUGGGGCUGGUUUUUAUCCAUUUGGAUAUGAGUUUGACCCUUGAGGCUAACCUAAUGGUCAUUGACAAUCUGCGUUAGAAGCUUGCUAUGCUUGUAUGUAAGUAGUAUAGUCCAAUGCGGAUUCUUCAUCUCCUCCCAUCAUCCCUUGUAAAGUUUUAGAUUAACGUUUAAUGUACAUAUAUUUUUAUAUGAUCUAACUUAAAUUUACACCACAUUAUCUGUAUUCACAUUUGAAAUCUUUUAUAUGUAUCAUAAAUGUAGACCUCCUUGUAUAUGAAACGGUAAUCCAAAAUUUGUUUACUUCAUUUAUGUGCUAGUAUUACAUAACAUAUUCAUUUCUUGAAGGUAAUUGCUCAAGUGUUUUUCGAAUAAUCAACGAUGACAACAAUAAAGAAGCAGACUACUCACAAAGAGUGAUAGAGAUCAAUACAUCGAUGAUGAUCAAUUCAUCCAAAUAAUUUCAAAGAAGUUCAAAACUAGCAGUAAAACAAUACAAAUGCAACAAAAUUUAAAGUAAAAAACUCUAACACCUUCAGAAUACUAUGAAUGUGGAGUAUGUCGAAACCAUUUAAAAGUUUGUAAAAUUUUCAAUCAGUUAAAUUUGAGAAGUGUAUAUCCUCUUUAUCAUGUACUUUUUGGAAUUUUUUAAUAAAUAGGUCAGAGUUUAUGUCCAACCUUACACCGUUUCUAGGUAAUUUUUUAUUAAAAAAAAGAAAACUAUUUACUUUCACAAAUUCUCAUAAACUAAAAGUAGUUUUAAUAUCUUGUUAUCUUUUCUUCAUGCGGGCCUAUUUGCCAUAACACGUGGACUUGCAAAAUUUACUUUGUCCUGCUUUUUAUUUUUUUUAAAAUCCUUGUUAAAUUUUGCAUAACCUCUUAUUUUCAAGCCAAAACCAUUGCCAUUACCCUUUAGUUUUUUUUUCUCCAACUCAAAAAGCCUUUUCCUUUUUGUGUUAUUCCUACUAAAGUAAAAAUAUAGAGAAGCUAAUACCUAGUUAGUAGUAACUACUAACUAGUAACUAGUAAUGGUCUCUAACCAAGUAAAAGUCCAAGGCCCAAGGCCCCAGGCAAUAAAAAGUUAGGAAAAGAUUAGGAAGCAUGGGCGGGUCAAAUAGCGGAUCUCACUUGUACGCAGCCACAGUAUUAACUUUCCCUAUCCUCGCCGCUAGGUGAAGACACAGUUCUCCUAGCUGAACCACAACGCAGCAUCUUCCGGUGGCAGCCAACGGCGAGGAUAUACUUCUCUACCUCUUUAUCCAGUAACGUUACUUUAUUUUAUCUCUCUCUUCUCGCCUUUUAUUUAUUUAUUUACUUUUAAUCUCACAAAUUUCAAUCUCUUGUAUGCAUCUUUGCUUUUUUUUUUUUGCUAUAAUUCUUAGAAUUGAUUGUACACUUUUAUUUUUACGUUUGUACUCUUGUAUGCAUCUUUGUUUUUUUUUUUUUGCUAUAAUUCUUAGAAUUGAUUGUACACUUUUAUUUUUACGUUUGUCUACGAUUUUUUAAAUUUUUUUUCUAAGCAUUGUGCUGGAUUUACUGGUAUAUAGUUACUGCUAAUUAAUUUUUAGUAGUUUUCUUGCUGGACUUUGGGUUUAGGGUUUUACGUAAGGAGCAUAGCAGGAAAUAGCAAUAGCAAUGAGUCGUAGCUUAGGUAUAUCGGUGAAGCUUCUACACGAAGCCACAGGACACAUCGUGACCGUAGAGUUGAAGAACGGAGAGCUCUACAGAGGCAGCAUGGUUGAAUGCGAAGACAAUUGGAAUUGCCAGCUCAAGAACAUCACUUUCACGGCUAAGGUACUCUCGUUCCAAUGUUAUUCUGCCCUUCAUUAAGAAUUGUGAAAGUGCUUUUCUGUUUCCGGUGUCUUUAUGCUGCUUUUGAGCUUCGUAAUGCCUUUUUCUUUCACUUUGAUUCCAAUGCAUGAUGGGCGGAAGCCUACGAUGAUUUUCUGUGGCAGGAAAAUUGAAACUAUGGGAUGUUAGUAAAUUGGAACUGAAAUCUAUUCACUCUUUAAGGGGGUAACAUGGGUUGGGUGGUGAAUGCUAUUCAGAACACGGGGACAGUCAGUUGUAUUUGUGCUCAAAAAUGAUUUAUAUAGGUUUUCCUAGUAAGAAUUUCAUGUUUGUGGCAAAAGUAUUUUAAAACUAUUAUUGGCAAUAUGUUCUCAUAUAACAAAAUUCUAUCCAACUGAAUUCCAGGUCGUGUAUUUUCUUUUUUUAAAUUCUUUGAUCUUACAUGCAAAACCGUUCUUUAAUAUGUGUUUUUUUUGUUGUGGGUUAGGUCUUUAAUAUGUGUUUUUAUUGCAGAUUUAUGCAUCUUAUUUUAUGACGUGUCCUUUAGGUGUCAGAUGCACGUCUCAGAUUUUACAACAAAUUAAGUGUCUUCUGCACACAUGCUUUAGAGUUCACAGAGUGUCAGGACUACUUGGGGUUGAGGUUGUAAGGAACUUUUUGACCUGUGGAUGCUCAUUUAUCAUACUUAUUUUAACUGACAGCUGGUUUUAAGAGUAUUCCUCCCUUGAUAAUUUCAUUAAAAUUGGACCUGUCAUUUUUGACAUUCAUAAGCAAUUAUUUCCAGUGCCAUAUAAUUUCUUCUACAUCAAUGGCUACAAAAUGUAAGAUCUCUUUUUGAAUUGUUGAUAGCUUAUGAACAAUCUCUUAUCCUUUCAUGGAUCUUUGAAGCACUGAUAUAAUUUACAUCUUCAGCCGCCUCAAUCCUGAUAUCUUCUUUUUUGAACCUCUGAACUGAAGCAAAUUAGCUUCAAGACUUCAAUUGUUUUUGACUGCCUAUUCCAGAUAUGGAGUUGGGUAAAAUUUCAUGCGAUUCAGUAAACAGAAUAUAAAUUCCAUCGUUGCUAGAUCAUCUAUAUAAUUCGGCGAAGAAUGAACUAAUAGUGGGAUUUUUUGAUAAAAUGUUUUCUGAUUCUCUCAACUGCUUUCUGAGUUCUGAUUGCGGGUAAAACAAAUUUUUAUCAGGUUUAUGGUGAUUCCCGAUAUGCUUAAGAAUGCUUUAAUGUUCAAACGUUUAGAAGCUAGAAUCAAGGUGCUUUCCCAAUUUGCCUAUGUGUAUUAGAGUGUAUUUGUGACCAUCACAGCUCUGCUUACACUUUUUAUAUUAUCUUUUGAAGGACAAGGGUUCAGCACUUGGCGUUGGACGGGGACGUGCUGUUGCCAUGAGAGCCAGGGUAAGAUCUAUUUCGUGACUUUUGCAUCUUAUACUCCAAGAUCAUUUAUUUAAAUCCAAAAGUUAGGAAUGACACUCCAUAUCUUUAUUGUAAGUUCUGAAAUGCAUUAUGAUCUAUUGUCAAGAAAAGGCAAUGCUGGAUAGCCUCUCUAGAACUGGGAUUUAACAAAUACUGUAAAACAAAGAAAAUUUAGUUGUAUGGAGUAUGUAAAAUGAUUAGCUUGGAGAAAUAUAUGGGGUUACAAAUUAAGUUUUGUGGGGUGAAGUUUGCCUGACUGUGCCAUCCGUGUAUGCAGGCUCAGGCUGCUGGUCGUGGAGGUCCACCUGGCAGGGGCGUUGUGCCACCUGUAAGGAGGUGAUCAUUCCAUAAUAUGAUUGUAAUCUUAAGAGCAUCAAAGCUCGUAUAUUAUGCACGGGAGAUCAUCAAACCCAUGUUCCGCAGCCCAAUUUGGUAUAGGAUAAUAUUUGGCCUUUGAGACCUUAAGAAUUAUGUACGCUUUUGAACUUGGCUAGUGCUCAUUUAGAGACGUGAAUGGUUUUCCAAUUUACGCUUCUGUUUUAGCUGAUUCUAAAAUUUGAUGUAAACCAAAUCGAUUGGCUGUCUGUUAGUCAUGUAGCGAAAGAAGUCGAUGUGGGAAGUCGUAUUCCGCUGUAACGUGGAAAUAGCAAAUUGCCUCCAUCCGUAAUUACUUGUGCGGAUGCAAAUAGCGAGCAAUGCAAUAAGCUUUUUGAAAAGGAUGGAUCCAGAGUUUGAAUGAUUAUCAGGAUUGCAAAGGCUAUGGAGGAGAGGUUAGUUUUUGGUGGUGAAACGUAGUUGAUAAUCCAGAAAUGCGUGUACCCUUUCAUUAACCGCUGCCCGGGCUGCUACGGAAACACCUUUUACUGCCUACUGGUUGGAAGAUUCAAAACUUCGUGGUUAUAUUGAAUGAGCGGCCAUUAGGCAGAUUAUUUGUGCCUCUGACGAAUUGAACUACCUUUGAAGUAGAAAUUAAAUUAUGCGAAUUGGAACCCUAUCCAACUCAUGGCCCUUUAAAUGAAAUGGAGCAAUUCUAACUCAGAUGUUUUUUGGCCCAAUGUGCACCAAAACAGACAUCUUGCUUGAAAUUCUCCAUUUUGGAAAAUCUUUCCUCUUUCGUCUACUGAUUGAGGGCUAUGACGAGAUAUAGCCUGGAUUGUACAUUCCUACUCCGUCUAUUUAUGCUCACUCACUAUAUCUGUAUGCAGCAGGAUGAUUGAUUUUCCAAGUCCAUUUGCUGGAUCCAGUAGCCAAAAACAAUAUGUGACUGACUAUCUGGAACAGUUGCAGGCUACAUUUCGUUUCCGCCUUAAAAUACACUCCUUUUUAUGAGUGAUGGAGCAAAGGUGUUUACUUCUGCAUAUUCAAAAAGUUUUAACGCCUUCUUAAGUUGGUGGAUAAAGGUGUAAAUAUCUGAUGCGAACAAAAUUACGGUUUAAAAGAUUUUUUUUUUUUUUUGGGGUAAGGUAUUCCACCUAAGGUUAAGUGGGUUUUCACUUUCAGUGCUUCAAAAUUUUAGUGUCCUCAGAUUUGAGUGCUUCAAAAUUUCAGUGCUUCAAUUGCCACGUUAAGUGGUUUUGCUUUAAAAAAUAUUCAGUCGGGUGCACGGUGGUGGUUCAGUCCCUUUCGAAUUACCUUUGGACUUCUUUAGCUCCGCCCCUCCCCCUAAUGUAGGAUAGAAUAGAUUUAUCGUCUCCGUUAAAAAAAAAAAUUUUGGAGACAUAGAAAAUAGACCAGUGAAUAGUCAUCAACCGUCUCCCUCCUCCUGACUCACUGGCUCGCUUCUGCUCGAAUUUCUUUCGCUGAACUUUCAUCGAACUCAUCUUGACCUCUGAUGAUGGAAAUUUGAUUUCGCCGAAGAUGCGUUUUAAGAAAAGUUGUGUUAGCAAGAAGGGUACUUUUCUUAUCUCUUUUCUUCUUCGCUGAUGCAUUUGUUUUCGAAAGUAGACUUUUGUAAGGAUAUUAUUAGCAAAAAAUUCCUAAUUUUAUGUUUCACACCGGCCCCCUUCCUCUCGAUUCACUCGAGAUUCAGGUUUUGAAAUAACAGCAAGUUAUACAAUAAUACCUUCUUUUGUUAUACUACUAUAAUACCGUAGUACUCUUUCUUUCUCGUGUAACAAUGACCACAAAGCUAAUCGCCACAAACCAAUCUAAUGUUCCACCAACCAAUUCUAAAAUUGAAAUUCACACAUCUGUCAUUCCCAAAAAGGAAAGGACUUCUUUAUCGCAAAAGACGUUAGUUAACAGUACUAGUAUUGUUCUCCAGAUUGUGUGGUGUCGAUGAAAGCCCGAUGAUGAAGACAGAAUUGUGUAAUAAAACUCUUCCUAGCACAAGUAGUCACGCUAUGAAUUAGAUGCAACAGAACUUCCCUACAGCUUAAAUCAAAUCCUAUCCAUCCCAAGUGUUUGAUUCACAAUUCACAAACAAGAGUCUCUCUUGCCACAUUAUUUCUAUGCAUGAACAGGCAUAGAGACACUGUACAGGCCACAGAAAGGGACUGCCAAAAUUCAUCUGUAUCAAAGCCUGGCAGCUGAUCUGGGAAAUAUAAUAGUGCAACAACCAAACGUUUGGUAUAAUUUUUCUUUAGUCUUCAAGCACAACAAAAGUGUUCUCCGAAUUGAAGUUCUUGAGCGGUAGCGAUCAAUGGUUUUGGCUCUCCAAAGUGCGCCGAUGGUACGUACUUGACGUUGACUUGGGUAUGGAAGUCAGAAAAUUCGACGGUGAAGUUGCCAAAAGAUGUCAAUUUCAGAUAAAUGGUUGGACCACUAAUGGCGAUCGCAAUGACUUCGAAAGAUUGACUACUAUUACAAGGGGGGGUUUAAUUUAUGCAUUGAAUAGGCCUUCUUUCUACUGAAAAUGCUUGUUUGACCCGAUGGGAAGACUUUUCUGCUUUUGUGUGAACAGAAAUUUCAACUUUUUUGCUUUAGUUUGACUUUCCAAUAUAUAUAUAUAUAUAUUCAUGAAAUGUAUGACAUACUAGCUAGCUUAAGGUGAUUGAGACUCAAAAAACAUAUAUAAUAAGUAUGUAAAAAGCUCCGACGCAGUUGCUUAAGUCUAAUUAAUUGAGUUCCAUUUCGACUGAAUCUUAGGAUUUAACCACAAAGCUUUUCUAGAAAUCUCAAUAUCAUCCGCCAUUUUUCUUUUAAAAAUUUAAUGCCAAUUCGUAUUUUAGUUGUAAGAUACGAGCUAAGUGAAUUAGUGAAGGGUCAAGUAAAACCCAAAUUUCGCAUUUCUACUGUUAUUAAAAGUUAACUUGUUUUUCAGAAUUGUAUAUAUUUCUGGGUUGUGUGGAUAAAUAAAGCAAAGAAGAAAGGAUAACUGCCUUCACUAAUUAGUCAUUCAAAUAUGCUAAGCUAAAUUUUUUGGGGGGGGGGGGGGGUAGGGGUCACUUCUAAUGCACAGCUUUAACUGCCAAACAGAGUGAAGAAAACAACUGAUAAACCAUAUAUACAGUCCACACGUUAAAGCAACUAAUUAAGCAAGUGUUAAUUAAAGCUGAUAUUAAGCAAGUGUUUGGGACAUAUCAACACGUCCUACUUUUUGAAGAAUGAAUGGAGGAUGAUGUGAGGGUUUAACGCCUCUCUUAUCAAUCAGAGUUUUAUUAGCAUGUGCUCCGCGUCUCCUUAAUUUCAUCAAAAGGGAAAUUGUUUUUGAUCAGCUUCUAAUUGCUACUACGCAUAUGAGUAUGGAUUUUCUUUAUUCGGUUCCCUCAAUAAACCCUAAUAGUAUUAGGUCUUACGUCCAAUCCAAAUCCAGAGACCAAAAUCUUAAUCUUCAAUUGUGUGAACUUAAUCAAACCAUUGAAUUAGGGGACCAUUUGGAGGUCCCAACUGCAUGUGCAAGGCAGAAUAUGUUUCCAACAGGUCCUGGUCGAUUUAUGAAACCAUGCCCAAUCAAUAUUUGAUGAUUGAUGGAAUUGAUUAACCUAACUUCUGUUCUACAUAAUAAAGCUCACUAAUUGACUUCCCUGCUUAAUGAUGAUCUGCAAGACCAAAAGCCAUUGCUUAAAACUCAUGCAGGAGAAAGAAAAUGAAAAUGAACGAAAAUCAAACUUCAGUGCGAUAUUAACUAUCACCGUCAAUCAAUCAUAUUCUUCUUUUUUUCUUUCAAGGAUUGCUCAAACACUCGAUGAUACAAUGAAUUUACUACGUGAAGGCAUGCACGUAUUCAUAUUUAUUACAUCUAUGUAUUUAGACAUUUUCUCAAAGUAAUCUCACUUUUACAAUGAAUUAAGCAGUACUCAAGGCCUCUCUUAACGAUUGACCCUUAUUAAUUACAAAUGCCGUCGUUAUCACUAUUGCCAUUGGUUCGGGUAACCUGGGCAAUUAGCAUACAUAUGGGACCUUUUGAACGCCAAAUUAUCACUUAAAAUAGGGAAAAAUCAGUAGCAUCCUUAUAGAUUUAUUGUACCAUAAAGUUUUUAACGGACAAAAAGAAUUUCAAUGUCGGAUUAUUUGUUUUUCAAUUAUAAGAGAAUUGAUGAGUACGUCCCUACAUUCUUUCUUUCUUUUUUUUUUCUUUAACAGAAAACCUUAGUUUUCCAUAAUGGCGUUUUUAUUUUCUUUGAUAUUGGAAAUAUCAUAAUGGCGUUUUUUUAGAGUAUUAUCAUUUUUUUUAAAAGGAUAAGAAGCAAAGACUUUAUUGGUAAUUCAUUUUACACCAUGAUGAUGAUGAUGUGCAAGUCCAAGUUAUGUAACUUCAAGUAUUUCGCUUUCUUUUAUGAAAAGGAGAAUGGGACUUGAUCCACUCAAGUUGCAUGUAACGUGUGAUCAUAGACUACGAAAAAAUAUCGGUUUCCAGGUCCACGGAAUGAAAUUGUCAAAGUGACACUAAAAACUUUGCGGUGCAUCAAAAGGUUGGUGAGUUGCUUAAUAUAUUUGAAUGUGUAUAUCAUUCAUCUUAGUAUGUACUCACAUCUGUAAUGCGAGAGUGCAUGCAUAUUGUAAAAAACAAGUUUUUUUUUUUUUUUAAUGUUGAGGCCUUUGGCUAUAUUGAGCUAACUCUUAAUACUUGUGUAAAUAAUAGUAAGCCAUUAGUUAGAUGAUUAUGAAAUUGUAUAAAUAAAAAUAUAUCAUUAGUUAGUUGAUUGUAAGGUCAAUUUUUUUUCUCGUUAUUUACAAUCCUUUCCAAUUUACCAUCUCACUCAACUCUUCGUAGAUCGUAAGACCACUUACUCGACUUUCAAUUCUUCUAUUUUUUUUUUCCUUCUCCAAGGACUCAAAAUCUCCUUUGAACCAAACAAAAUAAAAAGAAUUGCUUUUUUUGAAAAACUUGGUAGGUGUAUUCAGUUUAUUGUAUCAGAGACUGUAAGCAUAAGGACGUUGCUUCCGUUUAAGAUGUGCACCAAUGACUUACAUGGUUUACAGGAUACUAGGAGAGGAACACCGCACUAUGUGCGGUGUGAAGUUACAAGUUUAACGUGCCCAGUAGGAAGUUAAGAGGUUAAUAUGACCAGAGCCCUCAUUGGCUUUAUUUUCCAACUAAAAAUUAUUUUUUUAUCAUUUCUGUAUGUGGUAGAUAAUGAAGCAUUUUGUCAACAUUUCAAUUAAGAAAAGAAAUAAUACUAAUAAAGUUGAAGAGCAUAAUCACACAUAAUUGAGAUAAGCUCUCCAACUGUAUGAUGCAUCUCAUUAGCUGUGAAAAGUAAAAUUUAAGAUAUAAGAUACAUUAAUCCAGAAAUAUUGACUGCUAUAUCUAAAAAAUGCCUCUCGUCUUUCCUUAUCUAGCGUCGCGUUCAAUCAGCCAAUUAUAGUGGAACUAUGCAUUAGUGGUCAAAAUUUAAAAAAAAAAAAAAUCAAGACACAGUUUGAUAUCUAUACUAUAGCAAGUGGCUGUUGAAGUAAAUAAUGACUUUUGGUAAAGAUAUUGGAAAGGAUAAAACAAAGUAUCAAGCAUUCAUGACAAAAUUCCAUGAGCUUCCAUUAGCUUCCAAGUUCCAGCUAUCUAAAUAUCAAUCAGAUCUGACAAGAAGGAAUCAUAUUAGAAUUUAAUAACAUUUUGUGUAAAUAGUAGAAUGACAAUCUUGUUAAAUCACAGGUAACGCAUCCGUAGUUUUUGCCACACUUCAUGGCAAAAUUGUAAGGAAAUACUAAAGCAUGAAAUAUAAAACAAAGUCGUCAAGAACACAUUCCCUACUCCUAAGUUUAAGCCACCAAUAUAUUUGAAUAAUACCUCUUGCCAUUCAACUUUUUCUCAAACAUUAAUGUUGGAUAUAUAUAUAAAGAAUAGAAAGCCAAUAAACAGCAGAUGCAUUUUGAGCCACCAUCUUAUUUGGAUAAAUACCUCCUGCCAGCCAAUUUUUUCUCAAACAUGAAUGCUAGGUAUAAAUAAAGAACAGAAAAUCAAAAACAACAUAUGCAUUUGAGCCUAUAAAUCAUGUAGUUAUAUUUCAUUCAUGCCACAUUUUCGCAAAGACAACAUGAAUGAACAUAGGACAUCAAUUUAAAUUGAAAGAAAAUUUUCUCUUCUUUCGUAAAAAGCUCAAUGACAAAACAAAAAGCUCCAAAAAAUCAAGCAAAAGCUACAGAGAAAUUUCAAUAUAUUAGUUUGGUAUUUGUUAGAGUUUAUUUUUUAAAUCCUAAAACGCAAUCUAUUCUCUAUGUAAUUCUUAGAUUUUAAUUUUCUUUUUUACAUAAAGGUAUUAGAAAAUUCUAGUUGCCUAAUUGAGAAAAGGUGGAGAAGCUAAGGAGUAAUCACCACCUAUUGAUCAUUCCCCACUAUACACAAUUUGGCUAGAAAUUUAGGGCGGCAAUAUUUAAACUUACAACUGGGAUGGAGCACAUGAACAUUUUUUUUCUACAUACAAAGAUCUUAUCUUAAGGUUCUUUUAGCCAUUUCAGUUACAUCAUUCUGACUACUCAAACAUGAAAUCAUUAGGAGGGACAGGACAGCGAGUAACAAAAGCUACAAUCAGUCUAUGUACAUCAUUUUCUUAGAAAUUACUACAUCUAAAGAGUUAUUCAAAAAUGACACCAUCAAAGUAGAGAAAAAAUUUAUAAUGAUUUCAUCAGUAAUCAUAACUUUAAAUGAAAUAGGGUGAAAACAAAUGCUAUUAAACCUGGACUAAAGAUCUUAAAGGAAUGGAGCAGCCAAAGAAGACUUGCAACCUCUUAGUGAUGAAUUUACUAAAAUAGGUAAAAUACUAAAGAAACAGACUCUAAAUCAAAAGGAAAUGCAGUAUCUUCACAAAAUUUCAUACUCCACUUUUUCCAAGAAUAGUAAAUAGGGUAAAGUGACCAGAAAAUUAUAGUAAAAUGCUAAGAAAAAAAUGAAGAGAACACUAAAACAUCAAAAACAUACCAUUAAGGCUAAAUGGAAAAAUUAGCCUCCUUUUUGCUUUGUUCCUUCAUCUAACAAAAAUUUAGUAUAAAUAAAUAUCAGAAAAAUAAAAUUUAUUAGGAAAAAUAAAAGGAAAAAUGAAAUCAUAUUAACUUUUCUCUAUGGGAAAAAGACAGAGAGUCAAUACAAUGCUCACCUUGAGAAAAGAAUUCGCAAAUCUUAACAUCUCAAGCUACAACAAACAUUUGAAACUUAUGAGAGAGCAUAAAUAAUUAAUAUGUUAGACCAUCAAAUCUAUCAUAGGAUAUGUGAGACCACAGUAAGGAACAAGAAAAUAACAAUAAAGCAUAAGGAUUAGCAUGAAGUGAAGAAAUUGUGUUUCCCAAUUAAUAAUCAAACAUUAAGCACUAAACAUCUAAAAUGCAUUUCCAAAAUUUCACAUCCAGUUCAUACCGAUGCAAUACUUUUUCAAGUUGAAUAUAUUCCUUUUGUAAUAAAAUCCAAAAGCAUAACAUGCAAAGGACACAAAGGAAGGGAGAAAGGUGAUUUGUUGCUUUUAGCCAAGGAAAGAUCAGCAAAAAAAUGCCAGAAAAAAAAAACCAAAGGCAAACCUGAAGUGAACAUUUUGCCAAAAACUGAACUAUUCUUUCCUUCUUCAAGAUAUGCAUUAGUCUUCAAGAUAUGCAUUAGUCUUCAAGAUAUGCAAAUCAUGUCGAUCUAGGUAACAAGAAAACAAAACAAAAUAUUAACAGAUCAUGAUAUGUUUAGCGAGUUAUGGAGACUUGCCUGUUUUUUUUGAAACACCCUUUUAUUUCCUCUUCUUAGAGGCCGAGGGAGAUUUUUUGUGGUUCCCAAAAGAAAAAAAAAGAAUUAUACAGAAAAGUUAUGGCAAGCAAAAAAGGAAGAAAUUAUACAUAAAAAAGGGAAAACAAAGGUGAGAAGAUAAAACCUGUGAGUAGUCAGAUGAAAAAAUAGUGAGCGAUCUACAAGAUCACACAAAAAAUUGUGGUCCAAAAAAAAGUAACAAUUGAUGGUCAAGGAUGCAAGUAAUAAUGCAUCAGAAAAUGCAUGUCAAGGAUGUACAAAUUAAAGGAUAGAAUAUAGAGAAAAGAAUAAAAGAAAAGCAAAAUUAGAAUAACUAACCAGUGUGUAUGAAGAAGUCCAACACCGCACAACUGAAUAAUAGUAGAAGCUAUCAAAGAAACCACAAUCAUGUAAAAGAUAAUAAGAAAGGUGACAAAAAAACAAGAGAGUAAAAAGAGAAGCUGAUUCGGUGACAAUAAUUUUGAAGGGACAGAAAAAAAUUAAAAUGGUCGAACAGUGCUUGAGAAAAACAAAGAAGCAAGCAAGAAAUAAGAAACAAAGCAGUUUGACAGCAAUUCCGAAAUAUUUGAAGAAUUAGAGAAAAACAAAGGAAAGCGAAGCGUAAAACCAACAUGCUCACCAGGAAGCAGCAACGGCAACACCAGCACAAACUAAAACCAAACCAAUAAAUUGGGAAAAAGGAAGGUUCAAAAUAGCUAAAGAAAAAUGAAGAACAAUACUUAUGAGGUAGGUCUUUCUGUCUAGCAAAGAAACAAGAGCAAUAGAAUAGGGAAAAGAAAGCAGUAGAUGCACCGUUACCACUGAUCAUGAUGAUGAUCAGUAGAAAAUCUGGUGUGGAAAGCCAGAGAAACUGCAUAACCAUUGUGCAAAUGCAAAACACAAAACAAUGUCAAUCAACGGGAGCAAAAGAGCUAAUAGUUGACAACGGGGAAAAGUUAUUUUUUUGCAGAUUUACAGACAUAACCCAAGCAAAGGACAAAAAGACUACAAGAGCUUUUGAGUGGAAGCGUAAAUGCAGUCAGAAGGGAUGGGUAAUAUAGUGAACAGCUCAGGUACAAUCAACCAUCAACAAAAAGAGGCUGAUGACAAGAAGUGUGUAGCGGCGGAUGAAGAAAUCGAGAAAGUAUGCAUCAAAACCAAACAAACAAAAUACCAGCUACAAACAAAUGGUCCAUAAUUAAUUGCAAAGAAUUGGUAAUUAAGCAUGUUAAUUUAGAAAAGUAGUUAAUUACGAAUCAAUUAAUUAAGACCACCAAAAGCAAAGAAGAAAAGACUAAUGAGAAGCGUUUUCUGAAGCUGGAGCAAGGUAGACAUAUUAAUUAAAUAACAAUUAAUUGCAACAAAUUGGUAAUUAAUUGCGAUUUGUUAGGCAACAAAAAAGUAACGUUAUUAAUGAAUUAAUUAACAAUUAAUUGUUAAAAAAGGAAACCAAAUGUGAUUUGAUUGGCAUGCAAAAAAAAGAGGCUAAAUUUUGGCUAAUAACUACACAGAAUUGGUAAUUAAAAGCGAUUUGUUGGGUAAAAAAAAUAUUAAUAAUUAUAAAAACAGGUAAGUAAAUGUGAUUUAUCAAGCAAUAAAACUGUGAAAGUAUAACUUAAUUUCGGUGAAAUUAAUUGCAAAAAAAUUGAAUUAAACCUGAUUUGUUGGCCAACCCAAAGUAAAAGAGGACAUUUUUUAAUAAAUUUAAAAAAAAAAGGUAAUUAAACGUGAUUUUUUGGACAAGCACACAAAAGCUCAUUUUUUGUUAAUAAUUGCAAGAAAGUGAUUAAUUAAACGUGAUUUGUUGGGUAAAAAACGACACUAUUAAUUAGUUAUUAACAAUUAACUGUAAAAAAUUGGUAAGUAAAUGCGAUUUAUUGGGUUAAAAAAAUGGAGCCAAAAUAAUAAAUAAAUAAAUAAAUAAAUAAUAACAAUUAAUAGCGGGGAAUCAAUAACAAGCUGCCAUUUUGAGGUCCAAUAACUUGUUAUUGAGCUGCCAUUUUUUUCCAAUAACAAAGCACUUCCAAUCCAAUAAAAAAAAAAAAAGAAAAGGAAAAAAACCAAUGGCACGUGGAGCCAGAAUUUAGCGGCAGACUUCCAAGCCAGACGUCCAAGCAAAACAAAGAAAAGAAACAAUCGGCUGGACAACCAAUUCACGCGAGCGAAUUCACACGAAGCGACGAUCACCAAUCGGCCAAUGGAAGCCUGCCAUGUCAGCAAUCAGAACCCAAUUGAAAACCUCCCCAUUCCCGCAUAGACUAGAUAUGUUAAUUAUGUCUAUGUAAGUAGAUAUCUUUGAGCCCUACAAUCUUCAUAGGAAUAUUAUUGGCUUACCUUGUAUAUUAUUCUUAGUGCCCGUGCGAUUCUUCAAAUUGAUAUAUAACCACCAAAAUCGAAUGCAGCCCAACAUUUAUUUCAGAACACGUUUCAAUCUUCAACUUUUUGGACAAAAUGAUCGAACCAGAAAGAGAAACAAGUUUCGACAACUAUGUCAUGAUACAGUAUGCUUUCAUUUCAUGCAUGUCUUGGUUAGUUCCUUGAUUGCAGAUUAAUGCAGACGAUUGAUCAAGUACGUACUUUAACUGAAGCAAGUGUCUAUCAUGUUACUGCUAACGACCGCGGUAGAACUUCAUAACCUCAGACCAAGAACGAAUUUUAGAUUGAAUCAUAAGCCUUGAAAGAAUUCACCAGAGAAAUAAUGCAAAUGGUCAAGUUUUGGCGCAACUUCAUGGUUCGUAUUCAUAUGAAAAAGGGAAAAAAAAACGGAAAUCUGUAAAUCUCCGCUCUGCUGUAUCUUAGACUGUAACAAACAAGAGAAAUUUCCAAUUUCCAAAUUCGUGUAUAUAUAUAUCUCCACUAAUGAAAAAAAAACCAGACAAUUAGUUUCCACGUGGUCAGAUGAAGAAUAUCCCAUGCAUUAAACUACUUAGUUUAAAUUAAACUACUUAGUUUAAGUAACCGGUGGUGCCCAUCAUCCAUGUUAUAGUAGACCUUAAUCCACCUCUACAAAUGACAAGAAACUCCAUCGUGCUUCAUUAGCUCCCUUAAUUAUCUGAUCAUGGAAAAUAGAGAGCAAAAAACUUCUUCAUCGCAAGGAAUGGUGAGGCCCAUCUCAUGGUUGAAGCCAAACUCUUCUUCAGCUCGUUGUAACAAGCUCUGGAAUUCCGGGUGUUCCAGCCAAGAAAUGGGGAUGAUGUAUCUGGUCCUAUUUUGGCCAACAUAUACUGCAAAAUGGCCUUUUGGGACAUCAUGUGGAAGGCUAUUGUCGUGAUGAUCAUGACCCGUAUUCUUCCUUCCAAAACUUGAACACUUUUUGAGGAUUUGUUUGAGGGCCGCCGUUUGGGUAGCGGCAUGUUUUGUUCCUUUCUUAAGAGCCAUGUUUAUGGACUUUAGAGGAAAAAGGCUCAGCUAGGCAAAGAAGAGAUAGAAAUUGUAUGUAUUAAGAGGAAAAAGUGCUAAAGAGAAUGAAGGAUUGGAAGGAGGUGGGGAUGAAUUGAGGAGAAUGUGGAGUAGUAGUAGUAUUUAUGGGAAAAAAGAAGAAGACGGAGAGAUUAUCUGCGAAACAAAGACGUGGAGUGUGGGGGCAACAAACUAACAGGGCUUAGAUGUUCUUAUUUGAGAAGUCUUGUUCAAGGCCAUGCAAACUCAUUCCCCAUUUGGCCUUUUCCCGUUUUCUUGUUACCCCUCCCGUAGACAAAUAGGACCACUAUACUCUAUACUCUAUACCAUAAACUCCAAUCUCCGUUCAUCAUAUGUGUGUAUUUGUGUUUUGGACAGUGUGAUUGUGCAUGAAAUCCCCAUUUUAUUAAUGACUGAUCUAGAGAAUUAGGAUAUGGUACAGUCAGAUUGUUCCAUAUAUGAUAAGAUAAAAAAUUCAUAUCUUUCUAACUAUAUCCUAAGUGUCUUUUCAUUUCUUAUUAUUGUGGGUGAGAAUCAUUCUUGGGUAAUAAUUUGGAGGUUCAAUGGGUUAUGGAUUCCACACCUUUUCAAACUUGAGAAAAAUCGUCUAGAUUUUGGGACCUAUGGAAUACAAGGCUUCCCUCAACAAUUGGAUUCGAUCACCUCUUAAAAGUUCUAAGGUAAUGGAAACCAAUCUUCAAUACCUAAACGGCGUUGAGUAAACUAUGAAAGAUUAAAACAGCAAAAGAUAAAAGAAGAAUAAAAAAUAAAAUUUGAUUUGUGUUAUAAAUUUUUUUUCUCAUCAUACCAGUUUAAACAAUCAAAGCACUUUGUAGAUUGAAAAAUUCGAAAAAAUAUGCCCUAAAUGAGAUAUAUCCUUUGCAAUUAUAUAAAUUUUCAUAUUAAAAAGUGAAUUUGCCAAAAAUUUUGUUCCUCAAUAUAGGAAGUAUGUCUACAAAAUUUUGAAAAACACAAAAAAUAAAGCAUAAAAUUCUAAAUUUUUUUUAAAAAAAUGUAGUAACGCAUAGGAGUGUCCUAUUGAAAAGAUCAAUCUCACGGAGCUCAUAUAUGCAUCAAAAUUAUCACCCUUUUUUAUCUCGUUUAAUCUCCAAUCGCAUACCAUGUCAUACCCUAUCGCUGUUGCCAAUGCUCCAAUUAUGAUAAUUUUCAGUAAAAUGACAAUAACACUAGAUUCAAGAAAUUUUAGGCUAGCAAAUUCUAGAGAACACGGAAGAGAAUAUUGUAGAAAGUGAAAAUAAGCAGAGACUAUAUGGACGGUGGUGGUCGUCAUGGUAUUGGGGGUGCGAUGAAGGGCGAUGAGAUGAUGGUUAGAACGAUGGCGGGUGGGAGAAGGUAAGAGGGUGGCCGGCAUUGUACGAGUAAAAACUAUAUAGAUGGUGGUGGUCGUCGUGACAUUGGGUGCGCAAGAAAAAGUGAUAGGAUGAUGGUUGAAACGAUGCCGGCAUUCUAUUUUACUUUUUUAGAAGUAAUUUAAACCAUAUGGGAAAUAGGAGUAUUUAAUUCUUAUAAUUUUUUAUUUUAUUUUAUUUUAUUUUUCAUUACUUUUUUUAUUUUGAAAUGAUCGAAUGGGUCGGGAGAGCGUUAUCCCAUGAUUUUACCAAGGGAAUUAAUGAAAUUAGUUAGCGAUGGUAAUCUCUAACACGACAUGAUAAUACUAUUCGAACAUAAUUCGAAAUUAAUAGAUUUUAACAUGGUCUAGAUUUUAGUGGGUUAUUAUUGGGUAAUCCUAUUAGUGACACGAAUGUAAGCGAGUUGGAUUGGAUCAACUCAGGUUGACAUGCUAAUCGACAAAAUGCUUACUUUCACAUAAAAAUUAAACAUUACCAAGGCCAAUUUCAGUAUUUAGUAAAAAUCAGAAACAAUUAAAUUUGGCUCGAAGAUUGUAACUAUAAUUUUCUCCAUUUCCUAUGAAUAUACCUUCUACACAUUUUUCAAUAAUCUUUUAUUUCAUAUAUAUCACAUACUAAAAAGUGUUAAUGUAAUUAGUUCCGUAUAUAAUAAGAUAUAAAAAUUCACAUCUUUCUAACUAUAUCCUAAGUGUCUUUUCAUUCUUUAUUGUGGGUGAAAAUCAUUCUUGGGUAACAAUUUGGAGGUUCAAUGGGUUAUGGAUUCUACACCUUUUCAAACUUGCGGAGAAUCGUCUAGAUUUUGGGACUUAUGGAGUACAAGACUUCCUUCAACAAUUGGAUUCGUUCACCUCGUUAAAAGUUCUAAGGUAAAGGAACCAAUCUUCAAUGCCUAAACAGCGUUGAGCAAACUAUGAAAGAUUAAAACAACAAAGGAUAAAAGAAGAAUAAAAAAUAAAAUUUGAUAUGUGUUAUAAAUUUUUUUUCUCAUCAUACCAGUUUAAACAACCAAAGCACCCUGUAGAUUGAAAAAUUCGGAGGAAUAUGCCCAAAAUGAGAUAUAUCCUUUGCAAUUAUAAAAAUUUUCAUAUUAAAAAGUGACUUUACCAAAGAUUUUGUUAUUCGGUAUAAGAAGUAUGUCAGCAAAAUUUCAAAAAUACAAAAAUAAAGCAUAAAAACCUAAAUUUUUUUUAAAAAAAUAUAGUAACACAUGGGAGUGUCCUAUUGAAAAGAUCAAUCUCACGAAGCUCAUAUAUGCAUCAAAAUUAUCACCCUUUUUUAUCUCGUUUUAUCUCGAGUCGCAUACCAUGCCAUACCCUAUCGCUAUUGCCAAUGCUCCAAUUAUGAUAAUUUUCAGUGGAAUGACAAUAACACUAGAUUCAAGAAAUUUUAGACUAGCAAAUUCUAGAGAACAUGGAAGAAAAUAUUGUAGAAAGUGAAAAUAAGCAGAGACUAUAUGCACUGUGAUGGUCGUCGUGGUAUUGGGGGUGCGACGAAGGGCCUCCAUGAGUUGUUUAGUGCCUCAUCCAUGCAACAAGUUGCUUCCAUUUUAUCCAUACAAGAUGAUCCAAAUCAAUGUUAACUAGGACUGGAUUUUACACCUUUGCACAAUUAAGGUCCCAAUGUGAAAUUCCAUGACCAAAGGCUAAUUAGAGAGUUUUGGAUUGCAACCUGGAAUUCUCACAAGCUCUUUCCUACCUUGGCGCAUGUCCUUGUUUGAGAGUCUCAUGAAGUUGACCAAAUGACAUGCGACAUGACUUGUAGUCAUUUAUCUAUUUCCAACAUUGCUGUCCUUUAAAUGCACCGUCGAUUUGUGGACAAAUUGCUUUCAAGAAGAGAGGAAUGAUAUGAUUCGGAGCCCCCCCAACUCUAGUCCACAAAGAUCUCACAUACGAAAGAUAUUCAAAGUUUCAAGUUGUUCAUUUGGUCUUGUUGAGUAAGGACUUAUUUGUCAUUUUAGUUGCUGUUUAUUUAUUUAUUUCUUUUUAAACAAAUUCGGCCAAAAUAGCCUUCUAGUUGGCCGAACAAUAGCCCAAACAAAUCCUAGUCUAGCCGAGUUUUUACUUAGGUAUUUUUAGUUCAAGUGAAUCCAAUUCACUUUAGAUCUAGUUUAAGUGAAUCCAAUUCACUUUAGAUUGUCAAGUGUAUGGCUAUAUAUAGCCAAGGCAAGAGACCUUCCAAAUCAGUUUUUCAAUCAAUAAAAUUGUGAGAUUUCACUUUUCUCUUUCCAAAAGAGAUUCUUUGAAUAUUUGAGAAUCUUUCUCAAGUUAUUCAAGUGAACUUAUCAAUCAAGUAACUCCUUGAUUGUGACGUUCCUCUAACUAUAGUUUGGUUCGCUAAUUCGUUAAAUAGUGGGUUGAGAUAGUAUCAAUAGUGUUCGCUACUUCGGGGAUUAGAUUGGGUCAAAUUUCCACUGCCAAAUUGUUGGUGAUUCGUUGUCUAGAUCGUGUCAAGUGAGGUAUCACAUCACAACCUUAUACAAAUACAUAUGAAAUUUACUAAUACACAAGAGCUUAAACAAAAACAAAACUAAAACUACCUCAACUCUUUCUCCAAAAUCACGCUCCCAAACUUUGUCCCCUGUAAGGAAACAAAGGAGAAUAGGGUGAGCUUUCGCCCAAUGAGGUGCCAAAAGGUCACGCAGUCACAAAUCACAUAACUAACUUUUAGUCACUCAAAUAUAAGCAUCAAAUAAUGAAAUAAGUAAACACCACAAUUCAUACAGAGCGUUCAAGUAAAGGAUAUAGAUGACUCUCAAGAGCUAAUUUCACCGUUGCAUUAACUUGUUCCAAACCGGUUGACACUCCGUCAAUGUUUAUAGAGACGAAACAAUGACCGUAAAUCUCCACUUUACACCAGUUUUUUGUCCACCCAACAUACCUCUUACCGGUCCCAAACACCAAACAGAAAUAGUGGUGGUAAUACUCGAAUAUACCCAAUCAAGAACAAGUAUGGUUGAUGAGAUAACUUUCCAAUUGACUUAAUCAAGAUAGAGGUAUUGAGACGGGAAUGAGAGGCACCCCCCACUCGAAUUGAGUGUGGUACAUACUGCCGUUCAGCACUAGGGUCGAUGAGCCAACCCUCCAAUCGAUUUAAUCAAAAUAAAAAGUAUUGAGAUGGGAAUGAGAGGCACCUCCCACUCGAAAUAAGUGUGAUACAUACUGCAACUCAACACUUACAAGUCAAGCACAAACACAAAUACAAAUACAGGUCAAUCAAGUUCAAACAAGUAUAAGAUCAUUCAAGAAGGGGAGGACGAUUGUGAUAAAGUACACCCUCGCCUCAUCAAGUUCAAUAUUCAACACAAUACGUGGUAUCAUUCAAAUCAAGAUAUUAAGAAACAUGCACUUGACACUCACCAGUUUAAGCAAAAUAACAUCAAAAGUUCGCCCCCGGGUUAUGCUCUUGAUCACCAACAAAUCCUAAGAACAACCAAGAUAAAGUAUUAUGGUUCAACCAUUCAAAACUUAGGUGAACCAAAAAAAAUCCAAAUAACUACUAGUGCAAAGGUGUAAAUAUGGUUUUGGAGUGAAAAGAGAACAUUUGGACCCAAAGGACAUGAGUAACCAAGGAGUUCCUCAUUCCAAUUCAUGGCUAGAAUUUCUAGCAACAAAUAGCUAAAAAGAUAAUCAACCUCGAGCUUAAAAGCGAAACAAAUGCAACUAGAAAGAAUGCUAGAAAAAACUAUCACUUUUCCUCUUAUUUUACACAUGAUUUUGUCAAAAUUUCAGCUUAUACACUACCAUCAAAGUGCACUCAAGAACUCACAUGUAACCUAAGUCCAAACCAACCCAAAAUCACCCCUCUAACAUCACUUAUUUUACAAGAAAGAAGGUAAAUAAAAUUUCAACAGCACUUCCCCUAUUUUCUUCACUUUUCCAUCCAAACUCAACACUUAUUUUUAUCUCAAUCUAACCUCAAUCACAACCACAAGUUAUAGGCUAUAAAAUACCCUUGUUUAAGGCCAAAAAACCACCCAAAAAUAGCCAAUUUCAAACUCAAGAAUCAACUAUAACAAAGCUGAAAUUUAUAACCCUAGGCUGAAAUUUUCAACUACAAGCUGAAAUUUUCCAUAAGCAAGCCAUAAUAACUUAUAAAAGCUAGAAAAUUCACAUGACAAAUCUACUAAAUCAUGGCCAAGCUCAAAGCAUCAUUAUAAAGCUAAAAUUUCACCAUCAAAAUUGAAAUUUUUGAAUCACCACCCAAACCAUGAAAUUUCUCAUGAAAACUACCAAAAUCAAUCCCUAAAUCCACUCUUAUGUAAGUAUUAAAAGAAAUGAGAGUUUCUUGAUAUAGUUACCUUAAUACCCUAAGAAGAAAUGGAAACCAAAUGCUUCUUUCUUUCAAAUCAAUCCACCAAAGCCCUUAAUCCUCCUUAGAUGUCACCUUUUAUGGAGUAGUUUGCAAAAUCAAUGGUUAAAACUCAAGAUUCAAACAAGAUUAGAAGGUGAAAAAUGAAGUUUUUCUCCCCUUUUUUUCCCUCAAAGUUUCGACCAAGAGAGGUAGAAAGAUGAUAGCAUUUUUGUCAAUUUUUUUUAAUUAAAGGUUAAGAAAGGUUGUAGUCAAAGUCAAAGCUCCAUAAAUUUUGUGACAAAUGGCAUUCCAAGGUUAAUCAUCAUCUUAUUGUCUCCCAAAUGCUAAAAUACCUAGCCAAUCUCUAAUUAUCCCCUAACACCUUAUAAAAUAAUAUCUCUUUGUAUGAAACUCCUCUUGGUUUUCAAAAAAAUUUAUCGCACAUACCGCAUUAGUGGGUGUUACUUCCAUAAUUCACUUCGAAUUUAACAUGAACUAACUUAUAAAAAAAUGCUUUAAAAACUUGACUUACUUAUAAAAAUAUCUAGAAAAUUAGGGCAAUAAAAUAAAGUAAAGAAAAUGUAUUUGAAGAAAUAAAAUAAAAUAAAAUAAAGAAAUUUUUCGAGUUCUCAAAUCUUUCCUAUCUAAUAUCUCUCUCAAUUUUCUCUCUGAACUUUCCCGUGAUUUUUUCUUUACGUUAUCUUUCUUUUGUCAAAUGUAAUUCUGAGAAUCCAAUAUUUAUAUUAACAGCAUCUAAAACUUCAGUAUCAUCCUUGAUAUUGUUUCAGUGGAUGAAAAAUAUUCUUCUUGAAUUGAUAAUCUCAAGGUGAACGAAAACUAUUCUCUUAUCUUUCUAUUGUGUAUUUUUUGCUACAUUCCUAUGCCUUCAAAAAAUUUUGAAUACUAAUUGUUUAACAAAUGAUUUCUCACACCAUGUGUUUGAUAAAAUGUCUAGGAGGAACCACUAUAUAACAACAUAGAUUCGUGCCUAGGAUGCCAUUUGCCUUUUAUGCUUGUUGAUUACAUAUAUACUAAUCUAGUAGUUUUUAGUUUGCAAUUGAAAAUUUGAAAUUUUCAACUUGAUUACUUUUUGUAAAAGUUCUUUUCAAGGAGUAGGAAGGAUAACAUAAACAAAUAUGAUAUCCUUGAAAUUUUUGUAAUUUUUCUUGUUAUUGCUUACAAUUUUCAUUGCAAUUUUUGUUGCAAUUUUUAUGUAUUUUUAAAUUUAUUUUUUGAAAAUAUAUGCAAUAGGUUUGAUACAUUUAAAAAAAAUGCAAGGACCAAUAAUAGUAAGGUUAAUAAUGGUAGAAUUUAUUUUUAAUAAUUAUAAGGACUAUCAAAUUACGCAAUCUUCUUGUGCCUCUACAAUAAAAUUUUUUAAAAAUUUUUAGUUCAUGUUGGAAACUAUAGCCUACAUUAAAACUUUUCUUUCUUGUUAUCCUACAUGACAAUUAGGAUAAUUAGAUGGCAACAAUAAUAUCAUUAUGGGAAUAAAAUUUGAAAGUGAAUCACAUUGGGAAUAUUUUUUUAGAAAGAGUGUUAUUUUGGCAAAAAAACUCCUACGUCUUUUAUCAUCUUUAGAGUCUCAUUUAAUAUCUACUUGAUCAACAUCAAAACCUACAACUAGUUGUGUCUCAAAUCACCCCCUCUUAUUAUAUUUACAUGUACUAUAUUUUGACUAAUUUCAAUUGACUCUAUUGCUAAAGCCAAUAGCAUUCCAAUUCCAUCAUGAAUGACAAUCUAAUUGUGCACAAAAAUAGGUAAAUAGUUAUAGUUUAAGUCAUAGUCAUCCAAAACUUCAUGCAUAAGAAUGUGUAAUAUAUUCAAUGUUUUAAACUAAAAUUGAAAUACGAAACUACCAUUGAACUAAAGCAUCACUUUAUGAACUUGAUUUUGCCAAAAAUCGAAGUAAAAUCAAAUUAGUCAAUUCCUGUUUCCAAAUAGAAUUCAUUUUGAUUUAGGAAUUCUAUUAUUCAAAUUGUUGCUUAUUCUUUCAGGACAUAGCAUAGCCAUGCAGUAAAAAGCAAUAAAUCAAUAUUAGCUUAUACAAAAGCAAUUAGCAGGAGUUGUUUGUCCAGGGUGGUUCUGUUUCUAAGUGAAGUUAAAUUUCAUUCAGAGAUUCCAUUAUUUAAGUCAUUGCUUGCCUCUUAAGGACAUAGGAUGGCCGUGGAUUUAAAAAUCAACAAAUCAAUAUUAUCCUUGUUUGACAACUAUUAGCAUGAGAUGUUUGUGUAGGGUGGUGUUUUUUACAUUUAAUCAUUUUAAACCUUAUAAGAGGAAAGAGGAUGAUGAAAAGUCAAAUUAAGAUUUCACAGUUAAAUAAUUAAUUCUGAGCUUAACUGAAUGUUAACAAGCAUAGCAUAUUUUCCACUUACUAAAACAUUUGACUAGAUGUUGUCAAAGUCCUAACUGAUAAAUAAUAAAAUUUUGGACUAUAUAUUACAAAGGUUUUUGUACUUAUUUUCUUUAAAAAAAUAUAUAACUAGAUCACAAAAAUUAUACCUAUCUAGUACUAAACCAUUUUUAUGGCAACCAAUUCAUUACUAAUUUUAUUUCCAUUAUUGAAUUUAUUUAUUGUUUACCAAAAGUGUUCUCAUACCAAAGGUCUAUUAACUUCUAAUAUUCUCCAUAAUUUCUUCCGCUUUUGGUUUUCUGUAGCUAUAUUUUUCCCAAUUGGAAGAAAAGUGUGUAGUAUAUAUAUAUAUAUGCAAUAACAUUUGACAUAACAAUAGUUGCCUCUAUUCUAGACAUUUUUUUCAACAAAAUUGCAACUUAUCAGCCUUUUCCAUUUUCACUUGCAGCCUUAAUAUUUUCAAUAGGAUCUUUUUUCACUAUAAUCAAAAUUUUUUUUAAAAGAUUGAAAUCUUCUUGUAAGGUCUAAAAAGGAGGGUGAAUUAUGUAGUUCACAAAUUUUCAAAUUCAAAACUAACUUUAUCCAAGUAAAAAAAUUUUCCAUUCAAGUAUUGAGAAAAUAAUAGUAUAAGAAUAUGACAAUCAAACUCAAUCAACAAACUGUACGGAAGCAAUUAAAAAAAUAAAAGGUAAAGGAAUAAGAUAUUCAAACCGAUUUUAAAGUAGUUCGGCCAUCCUCGGUGCCUAUGUACACUCCAAGUUUCUUUAAGUUUUAGUAUUUCUCCACUAAGUGUCUCUUCAAAUGUAAGUGAGACAAUAACCUUAAUGCAUAGAAAUGAGGCUCAUUCUUACUCACAUUAAGUAUCUCUACUCUAAUUGAGUCAAGAGUUUUACACUCACAACCUCUUUUUAUCACAAAAGUUAUCUCUCCACUCUUACACUUGAAGAACACUCAUUUUAAUUUUACAAAUACAAGAGUUUUUACCAAAAUAGUUUCUCUAGGUAUACCACAAUCUAAGGCCAAGAACUUUUUCAUUUGGGAAAGUUUGGGUCUUUUAUAGGUGCAGGAAAAAAAAGGAGAAAUAAAGCUCCAAAAAUCAAAAACAGAGUUGCUGAAAAUUAGCCGUUAGACACUAUGACUGGUAGUUCAGUCAGCCUAAAGGAGUUCAGGUGGUCUAAUGGAGUUCAACAAGUAGUUCGGCAGGCCUAAUUUCUCCUAAAAGCAUUUUCCAUUUUUUGCUUCAAUACUACUACAGUAACUUCGGUCAUAUCCUACAGUAACUUCGCAUGGCUGAAUACUAUAGUGCCACUGUUCAUUACUAUAGUACGACUAUUCAUUACUACAGUACCACUAUUCACUGUUAUAGUACUUUUUUCCAAUUAUUCUGAUUUUUCUUCUUUUCUUCAAUUGUUCUCAACUCCUUUUUCUCAACAGCUUUUCUUGAUAUAAUUGAGAUUUAGAUCAAAAUUUAAAUCUCUAAUUUCUAUACUCUACCUCAUUGAUACUUUGGAGCUUUCUUCAUCUCUUUUUAUCUUCAUUCUUUGGUGGAAUACUAGAAUAAAGACUUUCUUGAUCUUGUUUGAUACAAACAUAAUUUCUUAUUCAUUUGCCACCUUUCUGUGUAUUGUUUCACUAUGAUUUUUGGGAUGGCCAAACAUGCAUCCACAGUUUCAUUUCAAUUUCAUUACAUGCUCACUUCUUCUCCAAUCAUAUUUAUACUUUGACAUUCUCUUCUUUGAUCCAUUUAGAGCAUCCUACUUGAUGAGUUCUAAAUUUGAGUUCACUUCAUCUAACAAAUCACUUAAUUGAACUAUUAGUAUUUCACAUCAUUAUUUAUUAUUCAUCAAAACAAGAGCUCAUCUAGACCAUGUGGUCUUCACUUUUUUACUUACAUUUUUUUGAAAAUGUUGUCUCUUAUCACUCAAAAACUCACAUUUUGGUGAUCUAUUCCUUUUUUGGCUCUCUCAAUUGACAAAAAUUCAAGUAUUUUAGUUGCUCUAAUUGGAAAACCAAAAAUAACUCAUAUAUUAAUUCUUAUGAUGUUGUUUGAUAAUUAGGUUUCAACCUCAAAAAUGGGUUUCAUGCUUAAUCACACCUGUGUAUAUAUUCUUUGUUUAAGUCCAAUUGGAAUUAAUCGAUGGGUAUGACAGUUUCAUUCUAUGAGUUUUAUGCUUGACUAAUUUCUAAAAGUUUAUUAUCUUGAUUGUCCAUCAUUUUCAUUUUAGCAUAAAAGAAAAUUGGGAACGUUUGUUGAAAAAAAAUAAAAGAAAAUUGGGAAAGAGGAAAUUUACAAAAAUCUUCUCUUCUUCCUUUUGCCUUCAUUCUCAUCCAGUCACCUUUUAAACUCUCCUCCUCUCUCUCCUCACCUUUUACUCUACGCUUCUUCUCUCUUUUCAACCCUCCCUUCCAUCUCUCACCUAUCUUCUCAAUCAAUCUAUAUAUGAUCUCUUUCCAUAUAAAUUCCUCCUAUGAACCACCUGGUAGCGACUUUGUUGUGGUAAAAGCAAUGGUUAAGCAACAAGCAGAAUAAAAACUUAGUUAUUGAUGAUAUGAUGAGGUUUUUUAUAUAUUUGAUGGGGUUCAAGUACCAAAAUUUUGUUAGAUCUAAGAUGAAUUAGGUGAAAAUAGUGUUCCCACGUCCAUGGUUUUUUAUAUUUUUCUCCAAAUUCAAUUUUUCAAAAAAUGUUUAUGACAUAAAAUUAGAAAAAUGAUGUAUUUCUAAUGGGUUUUGAAUGUUAAUGAGGGCUAUUGUGUUUUUUUUCAUUUGAAGACCAAAUUUUGACAUUUAGAAUUACAUAUAUGGAUUCUAUUCAAAGGAAAUUAUUUGAAAGACUACCUUGAGCUGUUAAGGACUAUAAUGGAGUUGUUACUAGUAGCUAGAAUUCCACAUCAAUGGCUAAUGUACGGUUAGAAGUUAAGAGCAUGAUUUACUUAUUUAGGGCUAGGUUAGAAGUGAAGAGUGUGAUUUACUUAUUCAGGGUCUUGGUAAAAGAAUGAAGAUAAGAGGAAAUGGAAAAAAGAAAAAGGAAAAUUUGAAAAAUGACAAAGAAGAUGAUAAAUUCUAAAAACUCAUUCCACAAGCAUGUAAUACCUAACAGCCUUUGAGUUUUGAAUAAAACCCAUUCUUAUUCAUUAGUUAAUGAUGGUAAUAGUGGUAAUGAUUGUGGAAUUCAGACCAAAUGGUUAUUUGUUAAUGUGCAAAAUUUUGCUGGAUAUUGUCCUUUUUCUAUAAAGAAAUGGCAUGCAUGACUAUGAAACAGAAAAAAUGAUUUCUUUUUUGGUUGUAGAGAUGAUGACCGUUAAUGUAGUAGUGUUGGUCAGUAAAUUGGUUCUCGAUUGCUUAAGAAUUAGCUUAUAAUAAAUCUUCCCAUUUCACAGUGGCAUGUUUAAUUAUUUUUAUCAAAGUUUUAUUUUUUGGGUUCAAACUAAAUCAAAUUUUUUUUUUGGUAAUGCUUUACUUAGUAGCUAAAGAAUUUUAUGAAGAAGAAUAUACUAACAAAAAAUGAUCAUUGUUUGAGUUUAAAUAUGGGUGAAUUUCAGUUUAGACCUCAAAAUAGGCCAAAAUUUUAAUUCAGCCCUUGAAAGUGUGCAAGUUCCAAUCCAAUUAAGUCGUGCAGCCUAGAAAUCUUGCUCCAAAAUCCAAAUAAACUCUUCCAUACUCAUGUCUAGUUAAUAAUGUUGACCAAACUUUAGUGGUACACAAAAAUAUUAUCAAGCCCUUAAAAGUGUGCAAGUUCCAAUCCAAUUAAGUCGUGCAGCCUAGAAAUCUUGCUCCAAAAUCCAAAUAAACUCUUCCAUACUCAUGUCUAGUUAAUAAUGUUGACCAAACUUUAGUGGUACACAAAAAUAUUAUCAAUUUUUUUAGGGAUUUUAGAGUAAUUAACCUCCCAAGUAAACGAGCACAAAAGGACAAAAUACCGCCAUUCUAAUUCGAUUUAGGUAACCAUGGUCUAUUGAUUAACGUUAAAGUCUUAAAAUUAUCCCCCUUUCCCCUAACCUUUUGUUUAUAAUAUUUUAUCCUAUUUAGCUCACUUAAGUAAGAAGUGAAUUAUUUUAAAGUCCUAAAAAUUAGAUAAAAUUUCAUUCUUAUCACUAAAUUUUUGUUAAAUGGUAUUAACCAAGCAUGAAUUGAUGAAAGGACUCAAGGUUCGAAUUUGAAGGGUUUAAUUUGGGUAAAUUCCCUUUUGACCCCCUAAACUACACCCUGUUUCCCACUUCAAUCUUUAAACUUCUAAAUGGGACACUUAAGUCUCCAAACUACUGAAUCCAUCCCAAUUAAGUAAAAUCAUUUACGGAUUCCACAGGAUCAUCAGGGUUUUUCGAGCGUGCAAAACAAGCGCCACUGACCAAGGACGGGGAUGAAAAUUCAGAGAAAAGAUAUAAAAAAUAAAUAAAUUUAUUUAGCACAAAGGAUGGAAACUUUCCCUCCUUUUAUCAAGCACAAUCGGGUCAUAUAAUUGACCCGAUCCAAUUCAUAAGCUGCGGAAGAGAUGUGCUCUAAUAAAAAAGAAAGCAAUUGGCUGAAUAUCGAAAUGAGGGGUAAGAACUAAAUGGUCGAGAGCUUUUGGAAAUCUGAAGAUAAGAAAGAAGACAAAGGAGAGAUGGUUAGGGACACAUGCAACUGUGGAAAACAAGCAUUGAUGAUGACAUCAUGGACAAAUUUAAACCCAGGAAGAAGGUAUUGUCGAUGUCCAAAUUACAGGGUGAUUCCAUUUCCAUUAUAUCUGUUUGCACUUCUUCCCCUAUGGUUUUGAUUUGUAUGUAAUGCACCUAAGUAAACUUGUAUUUACUCUCUCAACGGUGUUGUUAAUGUAGGAAUCAGGGGGAUGCAGGUAUUGGGAUUGGGUGGGUCCUGAGAUAUGUCAAAGGUCGAAGGAUAUAAUCCCUGGACUGAUAAGAACAAAAUACAAAUUGGAGUCUGAGAUUGAGAGGUUGCAAGAGAACUCAAAGCUACAAGAAGCAAAACUAAGAAGGCUGAAGAUGUACUUGUUUCUUCACUGGGUUGUUGCUGUUGUAUGGAUCCUUUUGUUCAACUCUGGGCCAUGAAGGUCAUCAUUAGAGUUUGACAAGAAAAUGUCCAUGUAUGUGGGAAAAGAAGCAACGGUGUAGUAGAGUGCAACAUGCAAUGCAAGGCACAAUGGUGCUAUGUAAUUGGGAUGGAAAAGAUGUAAUUUUGUCUCUCUGUAUAAGCUGCGGUUUCUGGUGUAAUGUAGCUAUGCUUGAAGAAGCACUAGGAGCUGACAUGCUCUUUUGUUGGAACUUUAGGGACCUAAGUGUCCCUAUCUAAUGAAGUUUUGGGAUUGAACCAUCCGUUUUUGUAUAGUUGAGGGACUAAAGUGUCCCAACUUAUUGAAUUACUUUUGGCAGUAAACAUUAAACCUGUAAACAUAUGUAACACCAUCAACUGUUUGACACAAUAGAUGCAAUCGAAAAUGGACUGAAUUUGAUCAUUUAAGAAGAAGGCAUUGAUAGGGUGCAUUUUAGUGGGGUAUUUUGGGCAUUAUUGCACAAUUAUUUGACUAAAUAUUUUCAUUAAUUGGGUGGAUUCUACUGAUAUUUUGUUUUGAUGCUAACUGCAAGAAUUGGUACUAAAAAGUGCUUGAAAUCGAAAUUUAGAAGAUUCGUCGCACGGGAGCCACUUCAAGUACUGGGGUCCGCUCGAGAAGCUGAAGAAACUUAAUUGUAAUAGGUAUUAUUUUAUUCUAUUUUGAGGGAGUCUUGUUUUAAUUUUGGAAAAAUAACAAUUUUCCGGAGGGGAAAAAUCCCUUCUUGGAACUUCGGUUGACAACAGAGGCCAGAGUUAACCUUUCGUCUGGCUUAGGUUUUCUUUUCGGGUUUUUUUUCAUUGGGAAGAGGGGAGGAGCCGCAGCUUUGAAAAAACCAUCUGAGGAGACAAGAGCCUCCAUUCUUGACUUUGUAUUGCUUUUCGUCUUUCGUUGACUUCAGAUUUCUUGGGCUUUUCCAAUUGCAUUGACCAAAUAGGGAAAUUAAACAAUUGAAACCCAAUCUCUCGUAUGUUUUGUGAGGAAAGAAAGAAAGCAACGAGGAGCCGCAAUUGUGGACCUUUGGAAAUGCUUUUCAUUCUGGCUUUGACCGAAGGAAAUUGAAAGUGCAUGCUCUCUGUACGAUUAGCUUUGGAAAUCAAUUGAAAGCAACCAUAAUCAAUUGUUUCUUUUUCUUUUUUCGGUUGACCGAAGUGAACGAGGGUCAAUUUCUUCCGUUUGCUUUGAUUAAAGAAUCGACGGCUUCCUCCAGCUUUGCCCGCAUGGCCUGUACUCUAAUUAUGGGGAACUAAACCCCUAAUUCUAGUCAAGGGGACAACUGAUGAUUUGGCUCGGCAAUUACUGUGAGAUCGAAUUUAUUUUAACUGUUUCCUCCAUUUAUUAAUAUUUAUAUGUUUCCCGCUUUUAAUUGUUAUAACUCUUGUGUAUGAUUGAUUAGUGCGCAAUAAUUAAUUAUUCAUAUAAGCUAUUUUACUAAAUAGGGAUAAUUGAAUCCGUAAUUGUUCAUUAUCUUUAUCUCAGUAGCAACUGGCGUAAUUGAGUUUAUGUCAGGGGAACAUACAAUCUAACUUAAACAAACCCUCGUAGCGUGUUUGUUAGUUAGGAUUGGGCCUUUCUAAUUAUUAAUGCAAUCUAGAAAUUAAAUCCUACAGUCGUACCUAAGGUUUUUUUUGGGUUAGAAGAAUAGCUAACGGUCGUACCUUAGCUAUCGAUAAAUUAAGAAAGGGUUAGUUGUUUAUCGCGUGCAUGACAACUAUAACUACUCUAUUAAUAAAUGUUGGAAUUAUUUUUGAAUCAAUGAUCAGUUGCAUGAACCAUUUCUGAAGUGCACCAUUGGCUAGAGUUUCUCUUAGUUAUUUCUUUUAAUUAAUUAUUUUCUGCAUUUAAUUUGUUUAGUUGGCAUUUAAUCCCAAAAACCCCCCUAUAAAUCUCGAUUUGAAAAGAAACAAAUUUCUUGCUAGUCCCUGAGGAGACGACCCUGCUUGCCACUGUCUACUAGUUAGUGAAUUCAGUUAAAUAAUUAAUUCAAGUAUAUCGGAUUAAACAAACUCUUCGGGAACAGGGUGAAUCAAGUAACCAAUUGCACACCUAGAGUCCCUGCUCCAGUACUCGAAUUGAUUAUUGACUGCUUUAAGUGGUAGUUAGGUUUUAUUUAUUAUCAUUGCACAGGUUCAGCACCUGUCAGGCAUGUUUAGCCUUACACCAAAAGAUCAGAAGUUUCACAAAUAUACAAAACAACAGCUAGAAUUUCUUGGCAUUUACAAUAUCAUUUGCCAUUUACAAAACAUAAUGUGAACGAUUUAUAGCAACAGAAAUUCACAAAACCCAGCUAAACAUAGAGUUGUACAUUGCCAUUGCUAGUUGAAUGAUUCACGUGACCUGCUGCUGCUUGCAAUGUAAACAGAUUUACACACAUGUUCCCCCUCCAAGUGAAAGGGGUUGGUUGAAGUCGUCCGCUGACACGGCUAGUUGAACCGAACUCUUCUGUCUGCCUAUCAUCAAUGUAUGAGUCUAAUGGUUUCAUUGUUAUCCCUGGACUGUGUCAAUAAAAUUUGUCACCAGUAUUGGAGUUCAACUGCAUGUCAGGAGAUAAGAAGUAGUUAAUAGGAGAGUGAACAUAUUCCCAUCUCACACAGCAACAAAUGCAAAUUUCAAAGCACUUACAUGUCCAGAUUCAGUUCUCUUUGAAGCUGUCUCAUAUGGGUUAAUCAGAGAAUCAAUCGCAGCUCUGUUGAGUCCAAAUUCUCCAGUCAUGUCUAGUGAGUUUCUAAAGGUCCAUUACCUCAACUUGCAACCUUUCUUUGAAUGGUCAGAUUUCCUGCAAAAUGAGCAUUUUCUUGUGCCCUUGACUGGUUGUUCUCCACCAAUUUUCUGUUCAGUCUGACUUUGAGGAGCAGCUGUGCAGCUCUCUUGUGUACUUAAUUGAGUGACAUUAGCAGUACUUGGACCAGUACUAGUAUGCCUUGUUUCAUUUCUGAUGGCAUCUGUUUGUUGUGUACUGGUCCCACUAGAUUCCUUAUCCAUAUGCCCAUCUCCUCCCUUUUCUACUGGACCAGUUUGCUGAUUUUUUUCAGGACAGCUCCUUCUAUUAUGGCCGUAUUUCUUGCACAGACUACAACUUAUCUUAGUGCCAACCUUGCUAACUUUGUGAGGUUUAGAUGGAUUCACACAUGACUACCUAUUCCUAUCUUCAUCUGGUCCCUUUUUCCUUACCUUUUUGGCCUUCCAGGUGAUUUCCCAUAUUUUGGAAGCUUCAUUGGUGGUAAAUCUACUGGGGCUCAUAGAUUAGGACCAUUGAUUAGAUUCAACACAGGUUCAUAACUCUUCAUGUAUGUACUCUUCCAAUAGAAGGGGGCCACAUUUUUUUUCUGAUUUGUCACGUCUCCUAUUAAAAGCAGCAACUACAUGGCCAUAUGGGAUUCCCCUCAGUUGCCAUUUUCUACAAGUGCAGGUCUUGCUCCCUAAAUCAACGACAAACUGGUCACCAAAAUGACAGCAUAUCUGAUACUUCAUUGUGCCAGCAUAAUAGCAGAUGCACAUGCAUUGCUCUUUCUUGGCCUUCUCAAGAAUGUCAAAAAUUGCUGGACAUAAGAGAUCUAACCAAUAAAAGGGCAAAUUAGAUAUUGAACAUAGUGUAACUUUAAAAAUGAUGAUAAAAAACAGUAAGCAAGUAGCUUAACCUUCAUGCUUGGACAUUGCCUUUCUAUUCUUCUCCAUUCUCUUCAACAAAUAUAAGUAAAUAGUUUGCAACAUGCCUAUGAUAGGCAGUGAUCAUGCCUUUAAAAUAACUGAAUUAAAAGAUUCACACAUAUUAUUAACCAAUAUAUCGCAAUCCAAUCCAGUCUUGAAAUGAGCCCUAAACCAAGUAUUGGGGUCCUUUUCAUCCAACCAUGUAUAUGCAUCCUUUGAUUCUUGCUUCAUCAUCUCUAUUUCUGCUUUGAACUGAGUCAUAUAUGAAGCCCUUGCACAUCUUCAAAGCCUAUCUUUAAGAGUAAGACCUCUAUGCAUUUGCUUGAAGUUAGUAUAAAGGUGUUGGACACAACACCUAUGCUCAGCUUCUGGAAGUUUGUCCCUAACAGCCUAAACUAUACCCUUUGCAACACAACACAACAAUCACAUAUGCCACACUAAUAUCAAUAGUUUAACAUAAAUAGUUAAUGGAUAACAAAUUAAUAAAUACUACCUUCUGUUUGUCAGUCAUAAUGCACCAUGUACUAGAGUCUGAAAUUUGUAAAUCUUGUACAAGCAAUCCUAAAGACCAACUCCAGUUAUCAUAAUUCUCUACCCCAACAACUGACAAAGCCAACGGAAACAUUUUGUUAUCACCAUCCAUUCUAACUGCUAAUAAAAGCUGCCCAUCAUAUGGACCUUUUAGGAAGCAACUAUCUAACCCAAUCCACUAUCUACAGCCAGCUAAAAAACCUCUCUUUAUUGGUUCUAAGCGCAUAUACAGCCUUCUAAACCUAGAAACACCAUCUUCAUCUAUAUCAGUCUUAACAAACACAGUAAAUCCCGGAUUUGCCCUCCUCAAUUCACCACAAAUGUUUCCAACAUGGUGUACUGUUUGUCAUGGAACCCCUGAAUAGUGUCUCUCACUUUUCUAAGUGUUCUAUACCCUUACUUAAGGCUAAAAUCAAUAUUUAACUCCUCAAUUACUUUGGUCAUCAACUCAUGCACUGUCAUAGAUGACACUUUCCUUACCUCAUCAACAAAUAGUUUGCUAGCCAACCUAGAUGUCAUUUUUUAUUGUGGAACACUCUUCCACAAGUGUGCUCAUCACUAAGUGCUUUUAUUUGAAAGGUGUUUUCAUCUUGCAUUUUAGACCCAAAUAGCUGCUAGUCACAAUUUCUGCAUUUCAGUCUCACCCUACGUGUGUCAUUUUUCUUGAAACACACAUCUCUCCCAUCCAUUAUUGCUUGGAUUCUUACAGCCAACCUGAAUGUAAUGACUGAUGUGAACUUCUGACCAACUUCAAACUUUGGUUUCUUCAUGUCUGUUAACUGGAAAUUUAGGCCUCCUUGUUUUACUAUUCCCAUCUUCAUCAGAUUCACUUUGACUCCUCAAUUCAAAUGAAUCAUCCAAGUCAUAUUCUGAUUCAAUGUCAUCAAUAUUAAUCAUAUCAGGGUCAUCACAACAGUUAAUUUUAAUGGGUGGGUCUCUCUUCCUUCUUGGCUUUUUCUUUCUUUGCUCACUACAAUGAGAAGGACCAGGUUUAUUGCAAUGCGAAGGGCCAGCUUCAUGUGCACCUAGGUCUACUCCAAUAGUUUGACCAAUUUUGAUGGCUUCAUCUAAUACGUCAUUGUCUCCCCCUGGAUCCUCAUAGUCUGAAUCUGCCAUCUUCUUAUCAACAUUGACUCCAUUUUCUUCCUCUUCUUGUCUGGCAAUAUCACAUGAUAUUUCCCCUACACCACCUUCAUUGCUGGCUGCCUUUUGUGCAUUUUCAUUGCAAUUUUUACAUUCAUUUUCUUCUCUGACUUGUGCAUUUAAAGCUUCAUCAUAACCUUCAACAUCUUUUUGUUCCUUUGCAGCAUCACUCCUAUUAUCAGCUUUCUCUUCUACCAAAUGUCGUGCCCCAUUUUUUUGAGAUAAGAAUAAAAGAUGAGUUUAAAAAAAAUGGCUUUUGAUUCAAUUUUUGAUUGGAAAAUGACUUUUUGAUUUAAAAAGAAAAUGAAAAAUAUGAGUCUAAAUGGGACUUGAAAAUGUGACGAUUUGACCCAAAAUAUAGUUUAAAAAGGGUUAUUUGAAUUAAAAAUCGGAAUCGCCACUUGGUAUAGAGUUAAGGUGUACCAAGUCACCUAAAAGUGAAUUUUUAAAGAAAAGUAGAAAACUCUUUUCAAACGAACCCCAAGUCUACGAAAAUCAGAGAAAAAGAUUCGGGAGUCACAUUUGAAGAAAGAGAAGGCAAGGAUAAGAAUCCAAGGCACCAUUUCAACCUAGCCAAGGCUAGUUGCGUGAUUUAGUCAAAGAUUUUCUUAUAUUACCCUUAAGAUUUAUCACAUUUGGAUGUACUAUAUGAAUGCAUACCCUAGACCUAAGAGGGUGUCAGGGGGGUUCGAAAUGUAUCUUCAAAGCUUACUUGGUACCAAUCACAUUAAUUGUGACGCCCAAUAAAGACUUUUCGAAAAAAUCACGAAUAAUGCAAGUCAUGAGACUCGAAAGAAAGGAAAAGUAAAGAAAAUAAUAAUAUACAAAUGUGUAUGACCUAAAGGAAUGCAUCAUAAUGGGUGCGGGGGACUAAUGUUCGUGACUCAAUUUUCCCUUUAAUAGAGGGAAUACGAGUGUGCUAAGGCUAGAAAGCCAAACUCGUCAAUAUCCCAUACUCAAGGGGUUUUUUCUAGUCUAACCAAGCAAAUGUACUAACCUAGGUUUAAUACUUAGAUGAAACGCAAGUCUAAUGUCAUGUUUCAUACAAAGGGGUAAGUAAUAUACAUAUGAGGGAAAAUAUGGGGGAAGGGAUAUACGUAGAAGGAGGGAUGUCAUGCAAAAAAAUGAUAAAAGACCCUAAAAAGUGAAAACAUGCAUGAGAUGGAGUGAUUUUAUCACACAAUCAUGAUCUAACGCUCGAGGGGCUCCUAAGGGUCUAGCAUUGGACUAGCCCUUUUACUAAUACUCUCUCACAAGCAUUGGACUUGUGAGGGCUCGAGGGGAAAACCAUGACUAGCAUUGGACUAGCCACGGUAACGUGCAUUCAUCCACACAAUCAGAUACAAUAUUAAAACAAAUAGACAUGCAAAACACAUAGUUUCACAUAGCACGUAACACAUAAGCAUGCUUGUCUAGAUGCAGAAUCCUAGGGAAACGAUUAAACACAUAGGCAUAUAGGCACACACAAGCACAUAGCACACAAGCCCUAUCUAUUACAAAAGGGGAUGCCUACUACAGUCUAAAGGGGAGAUAAAAUAAAUAAAUAAUUAAAAUAAAUAAAUCUUUAACUAUUACAAAUUUGGCAUCCAAGUGCCUUUCAAAUGAGCAAAAUUGAACUACAAUAAAUAUUCAAAACUAAAGCCAAUAAGUAAGUAAAUGAUAAAGAUAAAACACUUUCAACAGGCAUGCAAUUAAACACAUAAAGUCAUAUAGGGCAUGUAGGAUCCAAUAAAGUGAGAAAUAAGGGAUAAAACGUACCUCCCUUGAGGUGGGGCCCUAAUUGAAUGAAAUCACUUAUUUACCCUCCAAAAUAAAAGAAAAGGUCAAGGCAUCUCAAAUAAUCACGUUUAUACGAAAUUGAAUCAUUAAAUGCAUUCAAAUGCCUAAACAGUCCAUAUUCACAAGAUUAGGAUCCAAUUGAAAGGAAAAAGAAAGUUCAAGGGGGGCAAUUUGAUUGAUUUUUUAAUUAUUUGGGCCAUAGUAUAACAAAAAGGAACUUGGGGGGUUAAAGUGUAAUUUUUAGAAUUACUUUCCAUGCAUGCUACGAAGAAACAAAUUCUCAUCUCUGGUUUCCCUUUCUCUGCAGCUUACUGUGUUUCAUUACCAACCCAAACAUUACCAACAAACAUCGACUUUUGAAUCAAACGAUCACAAGACACUCCCCCAAUCAUCAACCAAGCCAAAUAUUACAUUUGUGUUGCAAGACCGAAUGAGAAAAAUCUGGUUUAGUGAUUGCUAGAAAAACAAAGUGCAGCAGUAGUUUUCGUAACAGCAAAACAAGAAAAUGCAGCAACAAUCUUUAACUCUUGUUUGAAAUGCCAAAAACAAAACGUUCAAGAAAUCAUGCUUAAGCUCAGACCCUGAAACAAACAAGAUGCCAAACAUGCUAUGAAUCAAACACUCAUCAGAGAAAACGCAUGCCAAGCUGAAGUUUUCCUUCCCACAACACUUUGUCUUCGACUUCAGCAUAUAGGAAACAACCAUGAAUAGCUUGCUGAAGCCUCCAACUUCAACUCUUAAAGACAUCAAAUUCCAAAUCAGAAAAUGAAAACCAAAUGCGUGGUUAAUAUUCGGGUCCCUCCCAAUUCAAAAUGUAUUCGCAAGGAAAUAAACUUCUGCACUGAUUUGCUUUUUUUUUUAACUUUGCAGGUGACCUGAUAGCAUGUGAUAAUCUUAACCAGAAAAACAAUCUCAAAUAUUUAACAAGCUUCCUAAACUCAUCACUGAAAUAUAACAUUGAAUGCACAAACGAAGGAAAAAAAUCUGAGCAAAGGAGGAAUUCAUCAGACCCCAGAUUCAUUCAUUAGUUUCAAAACUAAUGACUUUCCAAACACAGCUUUAACACCAGAUGUUGUUCAUGGCAUUUCACUCAAGCAUAGACAACAAAAAACAAGCAAGUCAAACGAGUCAUAGCUUCAGCAAAACGAAUACGUGAAAAUGACAGCCACUACAACCCAAAGUAAAACACAUGAAUUGGUCAAACGUUGCUGCAACAGAUUUGAGCAAGCCGAGAGUUGCAAACCUGUUGCAUUAGAAGCUCAAUCUAUUUCUAAGAAUCCAGAGCUACCCAACUACGAUAAAGGAUCUCACGAACAGGGGCAUAAGGCCAUAUUCAUCAGAAAUCAGCAAUAACAUCAUGUUCAUCAGAAAUCAGCAACAACAAAUCACAACCAAGAAUAAACGAACUAGAAAGCUGCAGAUCCUUACACAAAUAUCACCAGAUCUUCACAAAAUGGUAUGAAAAUGACAGGAAGAAAGGCUGGAGUUACCUACAAAUGUCGGUGAAAUAAAGCAAACGUGAAAUAUGUCCGAAAAAUGCAUGCAAAUUCCAGAAAUGAGAUUGAGAAUGCCGGCGCCGCAGAACUUCAGCGCUGAUGAAGUCGUCACCUUGGCUCCUGAUUUGGCUAUCUUCCUAUGGUUUUCCCUUCAAAAUUUCUGAAUGAAAAACACUCCCAUCACAUUGUAGAUGUUCCAGAUUACCCUAAAUCUCCAAUAAGGAGCCAAAUCCAUAGAAAAAAUUGCCUCCAAAGACAACAGAAAAUCAGCCUGGAUAGCAGAUUUUCUGGAAAAUUUUCUCUUCCCGCCGCCGCUCUUUCCCCUCGUUUUUCUCAGUUUUCUCCUCUAACUCUUCCCAGAUCUAACUCUCUCCCUCUCUUAUUUUGGUUUUCUUCCCUAUCCCAGAAAGCUCUCUAGUUUCCCCGGGCUCCUUUCUUCUUCGUGUUCCCUUUUCGCAAACCUCAGCCGAAGCCUCCCUCUUUACUUCGGUCCUCCUGUUUUUCCCUCAACCAAAGACGAAAGCCCUCUGUUCUUUUCCUUCCCUUUUUCGUUUCCUAUGUAGCUCCUCCGAAAGCUUCUCCCUCAGUUUUUUCUUUUUCCUUCUGCUUUUUCUUCCUCCUUCAGUCCAACGCUUUUUCUUUGUUUUCGUUCCUUUUCCCCGCAGCUUCUCUCUUUUCACCGUUUUCCCUCCUUCCGGGUCUCUAACUCAGCCGCCCUACUGUUUUUCUUUCUGUCAACCUCAGCCCUCCUCCUUUCUAGUUUCUCUCAGCCGUCCUUAGAUGCUCCCUUAGUUCUCUGCUGUUAUCUUUCUUUUCCCGUCGUUCUCCUUUUUGCCCCCCUUUUUCUCAGCCGCCCCUUCUUCCUUUUAUAACAAACAAAACACUAAACCCUCCUCUAAAGGGUUCUGAUGGAAGCCAAGUCAUUAGCCUUGUAGAUCAUCCGAUGGUGAACAAAAACAAGGAGUUGUUGUGCCUGCUUGAAAUGUUAUAUGAAGAAAUAGGCGCGGAUCCUGUGUAGCUCGGGUGCAUGAGCCUGUUUCCUUUUUUUUUCGGCAUUUUCAUUUUUUCAUUUUUCUCUUUUUCUUUUGUUUUUCUGAAAUUUAAUAUGAAGACAAAAUAAACCAGAACAAAAUAAAAUAAAAUAAAAAUUAAAACCCUAGAAUUGAAACAAAUAAACCCAUUAAAUUAAUUAAACAAAUAAAAUUAAAAGAUCAAAAAUUUGGUGUCUACACCAAAAUUUCAGUUUCAGUCGCUUUGCUAUUCACGUCUUCAUAUUCUGGUUCAUCUUCAGCAGCAACACUAUAAAAAUCCUCACUUUUUUGUUCAACAUCAGCACAUUUUCCUUGCUUGCCUGCAGUUUUUGGUGCUAUUUCUGGCCCAUUACUACUGUCUAAAUCUUUAGAAAACAGAUUCGGUACUCUCGGUGUCCAGUUGCUACUGCACCCUUUUGUAGUGUCUAAAUUUACUGGAUGAAUGUCAAUAUUUUCUCUACCAUCUUUUUCCACUUCAUCAGGGUCUAUACCUUUUUCUAUGAUUAUAACAUCACUGUCUCUAUCCCUUUCGGCUUCAUCUCCCUUAGCUUGACUUAAGGGUGCUACAGCCUGUGGAUAACCUUGUGAGAAAACUCUAAGAAACACUUCUGCCACCCUAUGUGGUGGUAAUAUGUUCACCAUCAUCUCACAAUCCCUAUCACACAUACAAAAGACCAAGCCUGUAUCCAAUGUCAUCCCUGGUAGCAGAUAAUACCACCCAAAACCAUCUUCUACAUCAUACCCAAGUCUCUCUUCACAUUUGUCUAGAGCUACUAAUGACCACAUUUUUGGGUUGCAUCUACCUAUAAAAUCAACCAUUCCCCCUAUAUACUGCUUGUUAGGAGAGUCUGUGAAGGUCCCUUGAUGGUGUAUCUUUAAGGAGAAAGGUUCAGGCCAAAUUCCACUAUCACCAUUUCCUGGUUCAAAGAAAAAUUUUUUUAAUUCAAUAAUUAAUUUUUUGACACCUUUUACAGUGAAUCGGGGACCACAAUGUCUUUAAUACAAGGAACAUUAGGGUUUGGACAAGAUAAACAUUGACUUAAAAAAGACCCCAAAUCAUUUUCAAGCCCAUACAUUCGACAUUAAACAAUUUUGUCUACCAUAAUUUAUCACUAACAUAUAACAUAUAGAGGUCAAUCUGGCCCUUUUUACAUUCCACAAUAUCACUACUAAACCUAACCGACAACAAUCAAAUAACCCAACUACUAUAUACGCUAUUAUCCAACAAGCAAACAAUGACCGUAAUAUCAUUUCUCUUACUGGGGGCGGCCUUUCUCUUCUUGUUCUUCAAUGGCAACCUCAUUUCUCCAUCAAACCCUCUUCAAUGGCGAUCUUGAAUUUUCCAUGUUUACAAUAAAUUUCAUCUCUGACUCACGGUCACUAUCAUUUCAAGGGUAUAGACUAGUAGAAAUUUGAUAAUGUAUUGUUCACACCUUUUUUCUCUCUCUCUCUCUGUGUUCAAAUCCAAGGUGAAGACGGCAGAAACAAAAACAAAGCUGUUUCGACUUAUUUUUCUUUUGCCCUUAUACCUAACGGGUGGCUAUUUUAGUUUUCAUGACUUAUCUAAUCUCACUAACGGCGCUUGUUUUGCACGCUCGAAGAACCCUGAUGAUUCUGUGGAGUCCGUCAACGAUUUUACUUAAUUGGGACGGAUUCAGUAGUUUGGGGACUUAAGUGUCUCAUUUACAAGUUUAGGGAUUAAAGUGAAAAAUAGAGUAUAGUUUAGGGGGUCAAAAGGAAAUUUACCCGGUUUAAUUUGGUAUCAAAGACAGAGAAAGAGGAUCCAAGGCAUUUUAAAAAACGCGGGAAAGCCAAGCCAAGCUGCAAAUUCCCGCCAUUUCAUGUUACUAUUUCCGCCCCCAACUAAGCAAAACACCAAAAACAAAUACAAAGUCCACGCCUGCUACCGCCGCCGCCGCAGCAGCCACCGGUUUCCUCCUGAAAUAGAGCUCCCAUGGCUGAAACUCCAAAGAAAAGAUCCAAACAAACCCCUGAGCACCAACAGCAUGAUCUAUCUUCCUCAAAUGCCAUUACAAUCCCUGCAACCCCAGUAGCCCUAGACCCCACCCCUGUCCGCCGAUCUUCCCGCCUUUACACCAACCCAACAGCGGCCACUGCUCCACCUCCUCCACCACCACGUUUCACCCGCCGUAAAUCCCUCAAUUUCACAACCACCACCCCCACCCCCACCCCCACCCCCAAAACCCCCAAGAAACCAGCUCCCCAAAGUCAGGAAGAUGCUGCUAAGCAGAUUUCGCCUAUAUCCCCCGAUCGAUAUGAAACUAGGAGAAAAAGAAAAUUAGAUGAAGAAAAGAAUGCGGGUCUUGCGAAAAAUAAGGAUUUGAAAGGGGGGAAGAAAAGGGUUUAUUAUAGAAAAGUGGUUUAUGAUGGGGGUGAGUUUUCUAUAGGGGAUGAUGUCUAUGUGAAGAGGAGAGACAAUGCUGAAUCGGAUAAUGAGGAUCCUGAAGUGGAGGAGUGUGUGAUGUGCUUUAAGGCUGGGAGGGCGGUGAUGAUUGAGUGUGAUGAAUGCUUGGGGGGAUUUCAUCUCAAAUGUUUGAAACCACCUUUAAAGGAGGUUCCAGAGGGGGAUUGGAUUUGCAGGUUCUGCGAGGCAACAAAGUUGGGGAAAAAUGUUGAAUUGCCUGUGCCACCUGCAGGGAAGAAGAGGGCUAGGACUGCUAAGGAGAAGUUGCUUUCGAGUGAUUUGUGGGCAGCCCAUAUUGAAAGGUUUGGAAAACACUUUUCCAACCAAUGUUAUGUUUUGAUGAUUAUGCCUCAACUGGUUAAUGAUUCCUGAUUACGUUUACACUGGUGAUUUUUGAAUAUCGCAUAGUAUGUGGAAGGAAGUGGAUGGUACUUAUUGGUUUCGGUCUCGAUGGUAUAUUAUUCCUGAGGAGACUGCUGCUGGGAGACAGCCACACAAUUUAAGGAGGGAGCUUUACAGGACUAACGAAUUUGCUGAUGUUGAGGUAGUAACUGCAAUCCCCUAAUUCACCGUAUAGGUUCACUUUUUCCAGAUGCAAUUGCUUAUGCUUUCAUGAUAGCGGACUGCAUAUUUAUAGAUGUUGGAGAAGAACAGGUUUAUGCCAUGAUUUUUGCAUAAUGUUUUGCAUAGUCCCAAAGUGUUGCUCAGUAUUGUAUGCUGUGUUUCUUUUUUGUAAUGCUUGGAUAACUGUAUAUUGCAUUGUUAAUUACCAUUGUGUACUGAGACUGUUUCUUUUAUGCACAUAGAACCUGGUAAAGAGCAGUUUGUGGGCAUUUCAUGGAAUGUAACAAUUGUUUUAUGAGAUUAAACAAAGGCUGUUGAGAGUCUGGAUUUCUCUAACUAUGAAGGCAUCAUGUUUCUAAGGGGUUCUUUUAGGACACAUGGAAUUUUCUGUGUUGACAUUGACUCUGUAGUACUUGUUUCUCUAGAUGGAAUCUAUCAUUAGGCAUUGUUAUGUUAUGAACCCUAAAGAUUUUAGCAAGGCUGCUGAUGAAGGAGACGACAUUUUCCUGUGUGAAUAUGAGUAUGAUGUAUGUUGGCACAGUUUCAAACGCAUUGCAGAAAUCUCAAAUAAUGAAGAGGUAAGUGUUCCUAAACUCUGAACAACAUAAUUGGGGAUGGUAAUGCUUUUGCAUUGGACUUGAUUGAGACUGAUAUAUGCUUUUAUGAUUAAUAGGAUGCUGAAGAGGAUGAAAGUGAUAAGGACUGGAAUUCUUGCGAAAUUACGGGCUCUGAUUCUGAAGAUGACACAGACUAUAAAAAAGAGAAGAUUAAUGGCUCCCAGCGUGGACCCUCAUUUGGUCCCUCAUUUGGUCAUUCAUUGGCUGCUGUAUGAUCUUUCUUUUUUUUUUUUUUUUAUAAAUCUCCUAAGUACUUAUUGGUAAUGGCAUCUAGUUGAAGCUGAUAGGCUGUUUUAAACUCUCUCAGAACUUGCGGAAGGGGCAAUUUUUUGGACUUCAAAAGAUUGGGGCAAAGAAAAUACCAGAACACACAAGAUGCCACAAACAAACAGAAAUUGGAAAAGCAAAAGCUAUGCUUCUACUGGCAUGCUUACCUAAGUCUCCACCUUGUAGGAAUAAGUGAGGAUGAUUGCAGUAUAUUGUUUAUUUCUUGUGAUUCUUUGGUUAUCAAAAGAUGACAGGUCAUUCGAUGUAGAGAAAUGGAAGAAAUAACUGCAUUUAUCAAAGGAGCUGUAUCUGAUGGUCAAUGCCUCGGAAAAUGUCUUUAUAUUCAUGGAGUUCCUGGAACUGGGAAGGUAAGAUCUAGUAGCUAUUAUUGCAACAACAGUCAUAUUGUUUCUAGACAACACAUUAAAGUUAGCCACAUAAUGGUAUAAACUUAUUCUUGUUGUUGCCAACCAACAGACAAUGACUGUCCUUGCAGUAAUGAGGACCCUAAAAAUCGAAGUUGAUUCUGGGAAUAUCAAGCCUUAUUGCUUCGUUGAGAUCAAUGGUCUAAAGCUAGCCUCACCUGAAAAUAUCUACAGAGUAAGGUUUUUGGCGUUUAAUUUAUUUAGGACAUUCAUCUAUUGCCUGAUGACAUUCUCUUCUUUAAUUAUCUUCAGGUAAUCUAUGAAGCUUUAACUGGACACAGAGUUAGUUGGAAAAAGGCUCUACACUUAUUGAAUGAGCGAUUCUCAAAUGGGACGAAUUGGGAAGAAGAAAAUAACAAGCCUUGCAUCCUACUCAUAGAUGAACUUGAUCUUUUAGUAACCAGAAAUCAAUCGGUAAUUGGCAGGAGAUUUAAGAUUAGCUACGUUAACAUCUGCUUUCUACAAAAUUUAGAAAAUUUUUUCACCCAUAACCACCUUGUUUUUCCUGUCUUGGCUUGUAAAUCACAGGUUUUGUACAACAUUCUUGAUUGGCCUACCAAGCCACAUUCCAAACUAAUUGUGAUAGGUAAACACCCACAUUCUUGAUUGGUUCAACAUGGCAGGCACAAUUUGAUGAUAACAAAAGAAUGGGACUUUAUUUCUGCAUUUUGAAUAUCAUUCCAGGUAUAGCAAAUACCAUGGAUCUUCCUGAAAAGUUGCUUCCACGCAUCUCGAGUCGGAUGGGCAUACAGAGGCUUUGCUUUGGGCCCUAUAACUACCAGCAGCUUCAAGAAAUCAUAUCUAGUCGCCUCAAAGGAAUUGAUGCUUUUGAAAAACCAGCAAUUGAAUUUGCUUCUAGAAAGGUUUUUUUUUUUCUCUUUUUAUAAAUGAAUUAUGUUUAUGUGUACCUCAUAAAGAGUUCACCUGCUUUGAAGCUUUCAUUACUAUUGGUGUUUAUGUUUCUAAAUUUAGGUUGCUGCUGUCUCUGGUGAUGCUCGCCGUGCACUGGAGAUAUGUAGGCGAGCGGCAGAACUUGCAGAUUAUCGCUUAAGAAAAUCACAAUCACUUAAUGAUUCCGCUGGUACAAGUGAGACCUCUUAGAUGUUGCUUUCAUCAAUCUGAAGAUAUUUUAAUUAGAAUGCAUGUCAAUCCAGCAUCGGAUGAAGAAUUGUACCAAUAGAGAAAAAGGAAUACCAACUUAUUGGCUCUUGUGCUUCUCAUUUUCAGUUAAGAAGAAUCUGCAUAAGAAAUACCCUUGAACUAUUUCAUGUAAUUUGGCAAUAAAUCUUUUCCAUUUUUGUUUUCAUCAAAUGAAUCGACAAUUUCUAAGCACUUUACAAUAUCCAGAUAGACUGCUAUGAAUUGCAUGGGCAUGUGCUAUCCCGGUUCAGAAUGAUCCGUGAAAGGACAUAUAUAGUCCAUAUAACCUGUAAUCAGAUCUGAAAAUAAAGCAUUUCAUGGUAGAUUGUGUUGCAAAAAUUUUAUGGCAUGAAAUUCAGUAAUAUUGCUUAUUCUUUCUCUAAUCCAAAAUUGAUGAAGCCAAAGUUUUAGUGUCCUUGAAGUUUCUGCAAGAUAUCAUGGUUAUGCAAGUAUUGCCAUUUUUCAUCUUUCAGCAUUUACUUAUAUCAUCGAGUAUGAGAGGCAAGAUAAGAGCAGGCUGGCCUUCUAUUCAACUUUUGGUAAAUAAAAGAAUUUAAGACAACAAUUUGUGAAAUGAUGGACUUGGUAUUGGCCCACAUAAAGUACUUUCUGACUCCUAUUUUUUAUUUUUACAAUGUUAAUAUUGUAAAGAUUUCUAGAAAUGCUGGCUAAUUCCUUAGAAUGUAGAUGUGUAAAGUUUUAGUUUGGUUACAGAAACUUAUUAGGCUAAAAUGCUGGGAAAAGAGAGUCAACGAUGAAAAAUUUGCUUCAGGAUUUGUGGAGACAUAUAGGAAAAGAAUUUAGACAUUGAUGAAACUUCUGCCUGUUCUACCUCUAUCUAUGUGGCUAGAUAAGUGAAGUGAUGUUUAUAGUACUUGUCGAAAGACCUGGGGACAUUGACAGCACAGUAACAUGGCUGGUAUUAUGUGUAUUUUGUGACACCUUUUCAUCAGAGGCAGGCAAUUUAUUUGAAGAUUAAUAGUGAUAAGUUGCACACUUAGAAUUGGUGAUGUGAUAAUAUUUAGGACAAAAAGACAUCAAUAAUCUCGUUUUCUGCAACAGAUGGCUUUAAGAUAUCAGGUCUGCACCUCUCUUUAGAUAUACCAAAUUGGAUGUCCAAUAGCUUCUUAUGGCAUCUAAGCCUCACAUGAUUUGGUGAACCAUUUGCUACCUGAUGCUGUAGUCAGAAGUACAGUUUUACACUAAAAUCAGUUUCUGUUCUUUUUGAAAGAGAAAAAGUACAGUUUAAUCCACAAUGUGAAAGUAGUAAAAGUACCUGUAGUUACUGCAGUUUUAUUAAUGAUUUUGCAGUUUUAAGUUCUCACGUUUAAGAUAUUUAAAUCCUGCUUAUUUGUUCCACGCCAGAAAAAUGUGGAUUCACAGUUUCUUUGUGAACUUAUCAGGUUUCAAUGAAUCAAAACAGGCACUAAUAUAGGGUUAAGGCAGUCAAUUCAAAAGUUAAACAUAUUUCAUACUAUAAAAUUUGUUUCAAAGUAACUAACCAUUUAGUGACCUUGUUCUCAUGAUCUUGUCGUCUGACAUUUUCUUUCAAGUCAUCCCAAGUAAACCAAUUUGUGGGGCUUUUUGGUAUUACUGCUCAUGCAAACCCUAAUAAGGCUUCUAAGCAUCACAAUGAAGGUUGAUACAUUUACCAUUAGCUGUCAAUUCUUUUGACGAACUUAAAUUUUGUGUAAAUUGAAGAAAGGUAAUUUGCAUCCCUUAAACAUUUAAAAAAAAAAAAUCAAAGCCAUAUCAUCGGGAUAUUUGAAAUGAAGCAAGCGAUGUAUGAAAAGUUAACAAAAAAGUCUUUGUAUGGAGCUGUAAUGACACCAUAUGCUGGUAUUACAGUUUUCCUUUUGAUCUAUCUCUACACCUUCUCGCAACUAGCUAAUGAACUGUUAACAUCGACCACCAGCUUUGUGAAGAUAGAUUCUGUCAGCUAGCAGGUGCCAAAGGAUUAAGUUAACUACCUUACCUUACAGCUUUAUAGCUGUAAGCUUCAGUGAGGACAUUGAAGAACUAAUUAUUGUGAUCUACACUGUCUUUUCUGUUGCACAACAUCUACUGUCCCUUCUUGAUGAUUGAUAUAAUAUACAUACAUAUGUAUAUAUGGUCUUCAUUUAUAGCACCUAAUGAUGAAAAAACUUGGCUUUGCUGAAAUAAGCAGGCAAUUUUACCCCCGUUCCUUUAGAAAUUUUGGGGUUCAGGAUGUACAUUGUGCAUUGUCCCCUGUUCUGCCUGGUAUGCUAAUGUUGGUGAUGAAUAACUAGAACUUCAAAUGUGUAGAAUUCAUUUCAUUAAGAACUAUGCCUGGUCCUUAAAAACUUGUGCUCAGAUGACGAACCUGCAUGAUGCCAUUUGUUCAGGAAGAAGUCUUGUUGGUGUGGCAGAUGUAGAAGCAGCAAUAAAGGAAAUGUUCCAGGCUCCUCAUAUUCAAGUAAGUAUACAACUGUGAAGUAUCACGUGAACACUACUCCAUUACAGUUCUUAGAGGAAUACAUCAGUGAUGUCAAGGAAAUGCUGUGCCGCUGUCUUGAGGGUGGAUCCAAGUAUUUGAUGGUACUAGUUCCCUGACAGGGCUUGAGUAAUCAAGUUAUGGAUACUAAUGAAGUCUGUUUUGAUUGAAAUGCAACUUGAUACAGCUGGCUUAAUAUUAGAUGUGGUCAUAAAAGGCCAAAAUUUUCUUCCUUUUUUUUUUGAGGCUGGGAAGGGAGUUCUGCCUUUGUAUUCUUUAGAUCAUUAAGUGGUCCAUAUUUCUUUGAUGUUCACUUAUUAACUGCAGUUUUCUUUUUAUAGCUAGUCUAUACAUUACUUACUGGAGAACCACCAUAUACACUGCUCAUACAGGCAUUAUUUAUGUAUUGACUUCGUUCGCAGGUAAUGAAAAGUUGUUCCAAACUGAGCAAAAUAUUCUUGGCAGCAAUGGUGCAUGAACUGUACAAAACUGGAAUGGGUGAAACCAGCUUUGAAAAGGUUAUAUGGACCCUUUCAUUCUUUGAUUUUUAUUCUUCUUAGAAUGAUGGUUAUGAAUACAGCAGUACUAGUAUUGUUGUUGUUAGAGUUAAUGUUGUUAUUACUAUCAUUUUUGUAGUCUUACUCCUUGCUGCUGUGCUACCAUCUGAAUGCCUGAGUUAUGCAUCUUCACAUGGUUGCAAGCUGCCAAUUGCUUCCUUGGCACAUACAGCGCUAUCAUAUUUUGUUUGUCUUAUCUAUUACUUUUUCUAUUACCACAAGAUAGUAGAUACAACUUGCUGUUUCUUUGUGAUUUAUUUUUGAUUCCGCCAAACUGUCCUUGGGAUUUCUUUUUCCUUCUUUGUUUUUGGAUGUGGCACCAGGAGUUGGGGAAAGGGGAUGGGGGAUUUAGCUUUUUCGGGCUGUUAGGGUAGCUUGACUAUAUUGUUUGGUAUGAAAUCUGAUAUUCUGCAUCCAGCCUCCAGCUGCUGCUGAGAGGUUGUUGAAUGUUAGUUGAUGCCACAGCAGCAGCUGGAAAGUAAAAGAUUACAUUCAGUGUCAUUCAAAAAUUGAAUCUUCCCAUUUUUAUCAGGUUUUACUGUUUCUGUUUUGUGUUGACUUUUCUUUUAAGUUUUUAAAGAUUUUUUUUAAAUUAUAUUCUGUGGGAGAGGCUAUAAUAUUAUAUUGCUCUUCAGCAUAAUGUCCGUAAAUGCUUGCUGUAUAUGCAGUUGGCAAUGACAGUUUCAUGCCUGUGUACAAGCAACGGUGAAGCAUUUCCAGGAUUUGACACACUCUUUAGAGUUGGGUAAGAUGCGUAAAUAGUUGUAUUUCCUUCAAUCAUGUGAACCAAAGUAUAUUGUCAGCCAUAUUCUUGUAGACCUUGUAUUGAAAUGACUUCAUUUAUGUGCUCAAAGACACGAAAUAAGUGUGACAUUUGUGUCGUUGCCAUGUAUGCACUUACUAAUUAGCAAAGAAGAUUUAGACCGAAUUUGAAGUUCUAAUGUGCCCCAGAGUUAAAGUUGAGGAAUUUUCUUUUCACUCCUUGUGUUUGAUAUUGGAUCUAAAAAGGAUUUCUUUGUUUUUGUUCCUUUCUUCUGUAGUUGAAAAAUCAAAGACCUUUUUUCCGUGUUACCUUGAUCAUUCAGAGGCUUAUUGUUAUUGAUAACAUAAGAGUGUCUCUGUACAUUGCUGGAAUUUGCAUCUUCGUUUCAUUUUAGUGAGCAUCGAAUUCUCCAUUAGAAAAUUAUAGAUGGUGAAAAAACUUGAGCUGACAUGUAGUGAGGUAAUCUAUGUGUGUUGAGUCCAUGUCAGAUGAAUUUAAAACCUAUUUACCUCUAGUGUUUCUAAUAUUGUGGCAGAUGUAAGCUUGGGGAAUGUCGAAUUAUAUUAUGUGAAGCGGGAGUCAGACACAAAUUGCAAAAAUUGCAACUCAAUUUCCCAAGGUCAGUCAUCACCAAGCCCUUUGUUUUAACUGAAUAAUCAUUAUUCCUCUGAGCUUACUUUCCCAACUUUAACAAGUUUCAAUUAACUGCUGUCUGAUACUGUGCUUGUGGCAUCCAGAGGUCUUGAAAAAAAGUGUAAUCCAGUUUUACUAAUUAGGGUGUCUAAGAGCCAAAGGCAGAAAACUUUGUCAGCUUGGUCAAUACUUGUGAUUUUAGUUGAAGACGUAUGUUCAAUGCCACAUCAUUGCAAAUCAAAAUACCGGCCAUCAAAUGGAUAAAUGGAUUGACUGGUGCUGACAUAGGAUAUCAUUUUGUUACCAUUCAGUUAGAUGACUCUCCUGCAUAGCAUCUCUUGAAGCUGGCAAUUGUAGAAAAGAAAUAAAAAUAAAAACCGAAUUUAGGUGUGUGGGAGACUACAUGACAGGUCGACAGUUACGUUGUCUAUGCCUCUGAUUUGAUAUUUAGUUUGUGUAACAAAAAUUUAAGAUGACAAAUAUAAUUGGCCUCAUUCAGGAUGGAACUAGUAUAAUGGUCCAAAGUUUGUGCCUGCAACAUUUCAAUUUUUCAUAUACAAUGAAUAUAUGUGCCUGCAGCAUUCCACUUUUUUGCAUCUGAAUAUUAUGUACAUUGAAACUAGAUUACAGUCCUGAUGUUUCUGUUGAAUUUUGCAGUGAUGAUGUGACUUUUGCCCUCAAAGACAGCAAAGACCUACCAUGGUUGGCUAAAUACCUGUAAUCACAAAUAGUGAGAUGCUAAUGCAUUCUUUCCCGCUUGUGUACUACAGAUUUAUUCUUUUUACGUUUUCUAAAACCCUCUCAAUUUUGCAAAUUCAUUUUUAUUUUGGGAUCUAAAUCCCUGUUAUGAUUGUAGAAGUGGGAUUAUAAUUAUCGGCCUUCCACAUGGCAAGGCACUUAUCAGAUGUGCACUUCUUAGUUUUGAUAGGCAUUUAUAUAUGCUUUUUCCUGCAAAUGACUAAACUUUUUAUAUCGAAUUGAUGAGUAUUUAGUUGCAAUGAAUUUUAGCGUCAGUGCAUGGGUGUUUCUUGAAAUAUUUUAACGGAACUUUAUCAUAGAUGUUUCUGAAAAAAUAUACGGGUGGGGAACCGUUGCUACAGGGAUAGGGUGGCAAGGAUGGAAAUGUGAGGUGUUUUCUGGUGUUUGGAUUGGGUACUUAUUGUUUAUCUAGAUCUGUUUUAUAGAAACUAGUGUUUAUGUAGCACCUUGCCUGCAUUAGCACCUUUGAUGUCUUCGCUAUAUCCAUGAUACACGGUUUAUCUUUAAAGAAAGGGAAAUAAGACUCCCAUGUCUGUAGUCUUUCAGGUCGACAAGGCUUCUGGACCAUCUAAGUAAUGCCAAGAAGCUUUUCUGUAUUUUUGUCAUCACAGCACUUGUGCUGCAUGGAGUCCAAGUUCUACUUGAGCUAACAAUUUCCUGUGUCAUCUUUAUCCAUUAUGAUAUUAGGCACAAUGCAAAUUUCAGAUCCUUUUAUUCUCAAUAAUCUUUAGCACGUCCAAGGAGAGGUUUUGAAUUUGAACCUUUAGAACUUUAGUGUUAGUAUGUGUUUUUGCACUCAAAAUGUCAAUGCAAGUUUGUUUCUAAUCUUUUCCAAAGUGAAACCAUACUUGUCUCGCUGUUAGGAAAUUCUGUUAUGACACUGGGGAUACCCAAGUAAUUAUCAAAGGUCAUUUGUCGAUUCCUAGACCAGAAGAGAAGAUUAGGCUCUGAGUCUGAGCAUGUGGGUAUGUGUUCUUGGAGAAGAACAUCUUUCAUUUCUCUAGGUUGAUAGAUAGGCCAAACCUUAGGUAAAAAUUGUCUAGAACACUUUUUGCUGUAUUUAUAGAACGUUCUCCACAACUAAAGAACAAAAUUAGGUCAUCUGCAAUCAUGCAGUCAGUGUGAGAUGACAGGCCCAAUCUUUAAAGGCUCCCAUUUUUCUGGCUCGCUGCUUCGUCAUACAUAUGGAAAUAUACAUAUGGAGAAAUGGACCCCCUUGUCUGAUUACCCUAAAAAGAAUUAUCCAUUUAGAGGGACAGGUUCGACGGGAUUAUUAAGAGGUCAAAAGGGAUUAAACCGUAUUUUUAUAUUUUAAGAGAAGGGGAAGUCAAAAGGGAUUAAAUCGUAUUUUUAUAUUUUAAGAGAAGGGGAUAGGUCCAACGAGAUCACUAACAUGUCAAAGGAAUCUAAAUACUUCUGAACCAAAUAUGUGUGCACUAAAGGACCCGGUGAAUUUGAAAGGUUAAGAAUUUCUAGUGUUUGAUAUUUGACAAAGAAGAUUUGAUCUCCCAACCAACAUCCCAAUAGGAACUUAAAGACCCUCUUGAUGGACACUAGACCAAUGGUUCAAGUUAAGGCCUCUCAUGAAACUCCAUUCAAAUUUGUCAUAAGCAUUUUCCAGGUUUAUUUUUAAAGCACGAUUUCCUAUUUUUCUCUCUCUUUGCUAGGAAUCUUUUUCAACACUUAACGCAGCAGGAAACACAUUAAACAAAAAUGUAGAACUCAUUUUACUCGUGAUCAUGAGAGUUUUUUUCUAUUCAAUUUGUUGGUACCGUUAGAAGAUUAUUGCUAAGUAUCUUGAGACUCAAUGAGAGCAGAGAUAAGCGAGCUUGGACAUCAUUUAUAGGAGAGCUGACAAUUAUACAAGAAUCCUGGUCUCACCAGAUUUUACACAGAUGUUUAGUAGAACAACUCCAAACUGUUAUCGUUUGAAAGAAAAAAAAAAAAAAAAGAACAACUCCAAACUUGAAACUGAAAGCAGGCACUAAUGAGGUUGACCAAACCAGUGUAACUCAAGAGCCUACAUUUAUCUUUCCCUUCUCAUUUAGUUUGUUGAUGUUAAUAAAAUUAAAUUGUUCAUUUUGUGAAGCAUUUAUUUGUGAAUUACUUAAAAGAUUUAAUAAUAUGUUUGCACCAUAACUAACAAAACUAGAGAUGUAAACGAAUCUAAUUAAGCUGAACACCCUAAUAUUCAAUCUUAUUUGAUUAUUUUAUGAGCUUGAAUUUUUGUUCAAAUUUAAUUAAUUUACUUGUCAAACAGAAUUUGAACAAGUUUCUUUAUUGAAUUUGAAUGUUAUCGAAUAAAAGAUGUUAUUCAAAUUUAGUUUGACUAGUCAAUGACUAAUCUCAUACGAAACUCUUAUCAAACCGAACUUGAUUUAAGUCUCGAGUAAUUUGAUUCAUUUUUCAACACUCUAUACAUCAAAUUAUUAUCUUCACAGCAGAGAUGUACUCCUUUGUCUUCUUAAUACAACGAUAAGAUUAUCUUUUCUAUUUUUACUAUUUUUUUUCAUUUCUUAGUUACGACCUUUUUUCCAAUUAGCUUUGCACUUUUCGUCAACAAACUAUUGACUUAAAUUUCUUGCGCUGUUUGAGCAUAAGCUUUUAUCUGUUCCAGAUUUUGUAAGAAUGGUAGAAUUAAUUUUAGAAUAGUUACAUGUAACCAUAAUGAUUAUUAUAAUAAAAAAUGUCAAGAUUAAAAGUCUACAUACACUUUUCGCGUGCGUGUUUACACACACUUGCUAAAACCUACAAUAGUGGGUAUACCUAAUAGUAAUAAAAAGAUAAUCCAUGCAGCAUCUGGUAUACAAAUCUGAGUCGUUACUUUUUUAACUUGUCAAACUCCAUCUACUUUUGAAGUCGAAUUUGAAUUCUGUUUCUAAGCAUUUAAUCAACAAUUUGCUAGAAGGUUAACCGCGUAAACAUGAACGAGGAAGAUGUUGGAAGCCACUCAUACUACAGCAGGAGAAAACUGCAUCAUACAAGAUGUUAAAGCAAUUACCUUUUACGAACUGUAGCAUUUAUCUUCAUGAAGUACAAUUUAAUCCUACUACGAAACACAAAACUGCAAAUUUAUGCAUUUGACAGCUGCAGAUUCAGAGCAGGUUGCUGCGUAAAAGAGGAGGUCCUCUGCCACAAUGGCCGGCCCAGAAUGGCACUUCCAUGGACAGCAAGGUAGGCGGCAUUCAACCUGUUUCAAAAAUUGAACAUUCUCAGCUAAAAGAACCACAGAGCACAUGGACAUCCAAGGAACAAAGACUACUGCAACAUUGUUGCAAGGAAGUUGCAAAAGAGGGAUUUACUUGUCAACGCCACGUGUAGCCAAAGGAUCAUAUAGUUCCUCUCUUUGUUCUAAAGCAGGAGCAGCAGCUGAUAUUGCUGCAGGAUCUUGAGAACCUUCACCCUGUAAAGAAUACAACAUAAACCACUUUUUCAGAAGAAAAAUCAACAAGAUGUGCAACCAAAUAUAUUCUAAAAACAAGAUUAACAAGAAAAAAUUCCCAGAAGGAAUAAUACGUAUCUCAAGAUUAUGGAAAUCCAGAAAUCUUGGUGGUGGUCACAUACUGAAGGUUUUGAGAGAGGCAAAGUGUGAAAAGAUGGCACAUUGGCCAAUGAAGUAAAUCUUUCUAUUAUCCUCGUAAUCGUCGCCUAUGCUCCAGUCACCAACAAAAGUUCAUAGGAAAAGAAGGGAACAAACACAACAGAAGUUGCUCAUGUGCAAUCCGAGUCAGCAUCUUUCAACUCUCCCAAUCAAAGCAGUCCAUCACUGCUUAAGAUGGAAGAACAUUGAUUGAAGCUCUAUUCCAAUCAACGUUACCUCACCAGGUGGAGCAAGGAAGUUAUAACAGCAGAUUUGCGGGUUGAGUUAAAAUUUUUGAUGGAACUCAAUCUAACUAAAUUCAAGGCAAAUCUAUUUUAAGCUUGGCUUCCCCAAGGUAGUUCACGAACUCCCAAGCCCCAACUGCCUAACCUCUGUUGAUCUUAAUCAACAAAACAUCGAUUAUGUUGUGCAGUAAAUAUUUGUUUCUUCAUAUCUAAAACAUUUGAGCUGUUCAUGAACUUUGGUAACAUGCUAGUACACUUACCAACAACACUAUCAAGAUGCAAAUUUUAUCCUAAAUACUACUGAAGCUAAAUUAAUCUUCAAUAUCACACUUGGCAGCCAGUAUGCCAAAACUUAUCCAGACUGUAGAUAGUUUUACCUGGAUAAGUCUCAAUUUGCAACUCCAAGAAGACCGACUCCCAUCUCAAAGUCAAGUUUAUAGAUUUUCAGAUAUGUCAUGCUUGAGAACUUGCCAAGUCAGAUUAAUCCACAUACAUAAAUAGCUUAAUUAGGCUUUGAGUAGAAUGUGAACAUGUGUUUAAACAACUCACUAUCACCCCCUUCAUUAGAUCUUGAUCUUGGAUUGCCAUUUAAUUUUACAGAUAGUGCCUGACUUCAAUCAUGAUAUCUGUAAUACGACCACAUACUUGAUAAUUCUUAAGUCACAUACCCUGAAAAUAUAAUGUAUUUGGCAUCGAAUUCUACACUUUUUAGGUAAUUUCUUAACUUUUCACCAGUCUCUUGUUUUGAAAGAAUUACCUUAACAAGGGAGCAUAAGAAAAUGAAUCUACAAACAAUAGAUUUCUAUGUGAAGGAUAAACGGCUGAAAUCAAGGCACAACCACAACUCUUCAUGAAACAAAGUCAUCCUAAAAAGACUCAACAUAUUUGCAGGCAACUAAACUCGUAUUCUUCUAAGUACUCAAACAGGCAUGUCAGAUUCUAUAACCAAAUCUUCUCGAGUACACAACUUCUGAUCAUGACACAAUGUAGUUCAGUAAGCAUACUUUUGAAAAUAUAAUGUAUUUGGCCACGAAGUCUACACUUCUUAGGCAAUUUCUUAACUUUUAAUCAGUCUCUUGCUUUGAAAGAAUUACCUUAACAGGAAGCAUAAGCAAAUGAAUCUACAGAUAAUAGAUUUCUGUGUGAAGGGAAAAUGCAAAUCAAGGUACAACCACAAUUCUUCUUGAAACAAAGUCAUCCUAGUAAGAUUCAACAUAUUUGCCGGCAACUAAACUCGUAUUUUUCUAAGUACUCAAACAGGCAUGUCUGAUUCUAUAACCAAAUCUUCUCUAGUACACAACUUUUGAUUAUGACACAAUGUAGUUCAGUAAGCAUAGUUUUUGGCCUACAUCACUAGUGCUCUCACUGUCAUUAAUUUCUUUGAUAAAAUUAGACAAAAGGGAUUUCUUAAAGUUUAGUCUUGAUGAUUUCCCUGGCAUUUUUCCACAAGGCGAAGUAAGACGUGCAAAGGCAUUCAUUUUGAGGGAUGCAAUAGAAAUCAUUGGCCCCAUAAGGCACAGCAAGAUCACCCUACAACUGGCCAUUAAGCAUGGUUAAGGUAUUGAAGUUUGACAACACCACUUAAUGCACCAUACAUUCAUUGGUAAGUGCUAUCACUUGUAUCGUUCCUGCAAGACAACUAUAUGCUGUUGUACCCAAUGUUUUUAAACAUGAACCGGCUGAUUGUCCAAUUCUGAUUUUUUCCCAACCGGCCAGUUCACCGAUUCUUUGAUUUUUAAAUUAUUUUACAAUAAUUAAUAUUUAAUAACCAGCAUAAAAAGAUGUUAAGACAGAAUGUUUAAGAAGAGCUUAUCUAGAAAUUUUUCAAAUAGCUUGCUCAAACUAAAUUUUUCACAAGAAUAUGCCUUAAAAUCCUGCAGCAGAGGGGUUAGAAAACAAGAACAUGCCCAUCCACCAAAGAAAAGAAAAAUGUUCAUCAGAAUUUCUUUAAAAUUAUGGCAAAAAAAAAUUCCAGUUUAUGGCAAAAAAGAAAUUCCAGUUUCUCAUAUUAACAACAAAAGAUAUGCUGCUUUUCCCAAGUCUAAGUACAAAUCAAAAUAAACUUUAUACAACCAAAUCAAAAAAUGGGGAAAAAAAGUGAAGAAAAAUCAAGCAUCUAAAAACAUGCCAAUCAUCAUCACCAUCUCAUCUUCUAUUGUCCAGCAUCAUCUUCAUCACCACUAGUAUGUCUUCUAUGCUUAAAAAUUAUGGAUAUAAUCUUCAUCAAGUUUAUCAUAGUUUUCACCAUUUAAAAACAAAAAUAAAAAAAUAGAUGAGAGAUUAAGAAGGGCUGCAAACAAGGGAUGUUGUAGCAGUGGGAUGAGUGUGAUGAGAGGGUGGAGAAGAAGGAUCUAGUCAAAAAGAGGAAACUGACGGCCAAAAGAAAAUAAGGGGAAGCUGAUGUUUUGGAGUUGAUGUGGAUGAUUAAUUAGCCCAUUAAGUUUGUUUUAGCCCUUUGUGAGCAAAUCAAUAUAGUCAAGUUGCUACCUAAAAUUUUGGGCUUUAUCAGCCCAAAAUUCAAAAAAAAAUUGAGAAGCCCAUAAAGAAAACCCAGUGGCCCCAUGUUGCAUCUCAAAACCCAGACUUAACCAGUUGAUUCUGGUUCACCGGUUUGUACCAGUUUUAUCUGGGUUUUUGCACCAGUUUGUACCAGUAUUGUCUGGUUGCUGUUUCCUCUUUUUUUACAGAACUGGACCAGUAUCAAGGCCUGUUCAACCUUGGCCAGCCCGGUUUUGAAAACACUGGUUGUACCAGUUUGAUUUUUUCUGUAAGUCAACACUAUCAAGACUAAGUGCAAGCAAAGAUUAAAGAUGCUGUAAAACCUCAGAAAGCUUUGAACCAUGAAAGAGAUAUCAAUCAUGAAUUUUCUAACAAAAUAUUCCAGAAAGUAUGUCUUCCAUUUUUCUUUUGCAUUUCUCGCUCUUUUGUCCCCUCUAUUAUGAUACACAGAGCCGUAUACCCACAACAGAAGUCCAGCACAGGAAAUGGGAAUAGUUUACUUAAAACUUUAGGUUCUAGCUUAAAGUGAUUUGGAUUCCACUAUCAAGGGGCAUCAUCCUUGACUUAUAACAGCAGUAAAUCAUGUACUUGGAGAAGAUACUAGAAGAAUAUAUAACAUCAUCUGAUAUUGGAGCAAGAAUUUAAUUUUUACAUGUUGAAGCCCAGUAAUACACUAACAGUUCUACUACAUUUACUUUUAACUUCUUCUUGGAUAUAUAGAAGCUAGCAAUCUGCAAAAUCCUAAAACACCCAAAACUAUGGGCUUGUUCUUGUCUUUUGUAGAUUUUGCAAAAGCAUAUUAUGGAAAGUGAUUCUAGAAAUCAUCAGAAUCAGCUAAAGCUACUCUUUGGUAGAUUAUGGAUUUUAGUUUUUUUGUAAUUAAAAAAUCUAAAAUCUAGAUGCAAAGGCGAACAACAAAAUUAUUAAAAAACAAAAAGACUAUUCAAAACCAGAAUCUAUAACCAGGUGAAAUAAUCAAAUGAGAAAAAGCCCUAUGUCAUUUCAAGAUGCAACUUUCCUUCUUCAUUUCUAUUUGUUUGUGAUACUAAUUUUCAUCCUUCUACAGCAGAUCAUACGCACUUGGAGGGAAAUUAUGCAGAGAGCAGUUAUGUUACUUUUAAGUUUAAAAAGUCCCAACUUGAACUGAAGUUAGUAAUCCUUACCUACUCCUGUAGAAAGGAACAACAUUCUAUGAUUGUCAGCAUGAUACCAGAAUCCAUAAAAAUGUUUGAACUAGGAAUUUCCUCAAAGAGUAAUACUUGUCUAAAGUAGUAUAGCAAAGCAGAAAGCAAGGAAUACAACUAAUCAAAAUACUCAUAAAUCGAACAAAUAUAUUUGCUUACCUGUUGAGUAUAUUGUAAAUAACCAGCAUAUGCACCAUAUCCAUACAAUGAGGGAUCUUGUGUGGCUCCAUAUGAAUAUGCAUCAUAGCCUUGUCCAUAACCAUAAUAAGCACUCCAUUGAUUAGGAUCUGUAGGCUGGGUCCAAGUACCAGGUAGAUCCUGUCAGUGGUAUCAAAUACUCAACAUCAUUUAACAAAGUCCAUAACAACACUAAGCUCUUUGUCUCAGUAGAUAGAUAGUACUCAUCACUUGACUCCCCAUUACCUCUGCUUUCUUAAAGGAUCAAUAAGUGUCCUAGUUCUCUGCCUUAUUAAUUGCUUAAAAUAACAUCCAAGUGGAAAAAAGUAUCCUAUCCAAUCCAUAAAAAAUACAUUCCAAUCCAGGCCAGUGUGAUAAAAAAGAAAGUUAAUGACAGACACCUGCUUUGCCGUUGGACUCCUUCCCCAAGAAAGACGGACUACUUGUUGCCCAAUCACAGCGCCCUGCAUCCUUUGAAUUGCUUCUUCUGCAGAUGUCCUGCAAAGAUGAAUAUCAAAAGACAGAAAUUUGUCCAGAAAGAAAAUGACUAAAUGCGUACAAAGGAGAAAAUAGGAAAUCAUGACAAUGAAGGACAGCAUUCGAUGUAUGCCAAAACAACUAUAGUAGUUAUAAACAGCUUUUAAAUGCAUGAGAUGAGAUGGCUAAAGAAAUCCAACAACCAAACUCAAAGCUUAAUUAGUCAUUCUACACCACCAGAAAAAUUCAUUCUUAUCUUUUUAACUUCUCUUGUUGGGAGUAGAGAGAAUUUUCUUUUGUGUUUUAUUCUCUUCAACAAAAUAUAAGUAAUAGUUUGCAACAUGCCUAUGAUAGGCAGUGAUCAUGCCUUUAAAAUAACUGAAUUAAAAGAUUCACACAUAUUAUUAACAAUAUAUCGCAAUCCAAUCCAGUCUUGAAAUGAGCCCUAAACCAAGUAUUGGGGUCCUUUUCAUCAACCAUUAUAUGCAUCUUUGAUUCUUGCUUCAUCAUCUCUAUUUCUGCUUUGAACUGAGUCAUAUAUGAAGCCCUUGCACAUCUUCAAAGCCUAUCUUAAGAGUAAGACCUCUAUGCAUUUGCUUGAAGUUAGUAUAAAAGUGUUGGACACAACACCUAUGCUCAGCUUCUGGAAGUUUGUCCCUAACAGCCUAAACUAUACCCUUUGCAACACACACAACAAUCACAUAUGCCACACUAAUAUCAAUAGUUUAACAUAAAUAUUAAUUGGAUAACAAAUUAAUAAAUACUACCUUCUGUUUGUCAGUCAUAUGCACCAUGUACUAAGAUCUGAAAUUUGUAAAUCUUGUACAAGCAAUCCUAAAGACCAACUCCAGUUAUCAUAAUUCUCUACCCCAACAACUGACAAAGCCAACGGAAACAUUUUGUUAUCACAUCCAUUCUAACUGCUAAUAAAAGCUGCCCAUCAUAUGGACCUUUUAGGAAGCAACUAUCUAACCCAAUCUCUAUAUCAGCCAGCUAAAAACUCUCUUUAUUGGUUCUAAGCGCAUAUACAGCCUUCUAAACCUAGAAACACCAUUUCAUCUAUAUCAGUCUUAACAAACACAGUAAAUCCCGGAUUUGCCCUCUCAAUUCACCACAAAUGUUUCCAACAUGGUGCUAGUUUGUCAUGGAACCCCUGAAUAGUGUCUCUCACUUUUCUAAGUGUUCUAUACCUUACUUAAGGCUAAAAUCAAUAUUUAACUCCUCAAUUACUUUGGUCAUCAACUCAUGCACUGUCAUAGAUGACACUUUCCUUACCUCAUCAACAAAUAGUUUGCUAGCCAACCUAGAUGUCAUUUUUUAUUGUGGAACACUCUUCCACAAGUGUGCUCAUCACUAAGUGUUUUUAUUUGAAAGGUGUUUUCAUCUUGCAUUUUAGACCCAAAUAGCUGCUAGUCACAAUUUCUGCAUUUCAGUCUCACCCUACGUGUGUCAUUUUUCUUGAAACACACAUCUCUCCCAUCCAUUAUUGCUUGGAUCUUACAGCCAACCUGAAUGUAAUGACUGAUGUGAACUUCUGACCAACUUCAAACUUUGGUUUCUUCAUGUCUGUUAACUGGAAAUUUAGGCCUCCUUGUUUUACUAUUCCCAUCUUCAUCAGAUUCACUUUGACUCCUCAAUUCAAAUGAAUCAUCCAAGUCAUAUUCUGAUUCAAUGUCAUCAAUAUUAAUCAUAUCAGGGUCAUCACAACAGUUAAUUUUAAUGGGUGGGUCUCUCUUCCUUCUUGGCUUUUUCUUUCUUUGCUCACUACAAUGAGAAGGACCAGGUUUAUUGCAAUGCGAAGGGCCAGCUUCAUGUGCACCUAGGUCUACUCCAAUAGUUUGACCAAUUUUGAUGGCUUCAUCUAAUACGUCAUUGUCUCCCCCUGGAUCCUCAUAGUCUGAAUCUGCCAUCUUCUUAUCAACAUUGACUCCAUUUUCUUCCUCUUCUUGUCUGGCAAUAUCACAUGAUAUUUCCCCUACACCACCUUCAUUGCUGGCUGCCUUUUGUGCAUUUUCAUUGCAAUUUUUACAUUCAUUUUCUUCUCUGACUUGUGCAUUUAAAGCUUCAUCAUAACCUUCAACAUCUUUUGUUCCUUUGCAGCAUCACUCCUAUUAUCAGCUUUCUCUUCUACCAAAUGUCGUGCCCCAUUUUUUUGAGAUAAGAAUAAAAGAUGAGUUUAAAAAAAAUGGCUUUUGAUUCAAUUUUUGAUUGGAAAAUGACUUUUUGAUUUAAAAAGAAAAUGAAAAAUAUGAGUCUAAAUGGGACUUGAAAAUGUGACGAUUUGACCCAAAAUAUAGUUUAAAAAGGGUUAUUUGAAUUAAAAAUCGGAAUCGCCACUUGGUAUAGAGUUAAGGUGUACCAAGUCACCUAAAAGUGAAUUUUUAAAGAAAAGUAGAAAACUCUUUUCAAACGAACCCCAAGUCUACGAAAAUCAGAGAAAAAGAUUCGGGAGUCACAUUUGAAGAAAGAGAAGGCAAGGAUAAGAAUCCAAGGCACCAUUUCAACCUAGCCAAGGCUAGUUGCGUGAUUUAGUCAAAGAUUUUCUUAUAUUACCCUUAAGAUUUAUCACAUUUGGAUGUACUAUAUGAAUGCAUACCCUAGACCUAAGAGGGUGUCAGGGGGGUUUCGAAAUGUAUCUUCAAAGCUUACUUCGGUACCAAUCACAUUAAUUGUGACGCCCAAUAAAGACUUUUCGAAAAAAUCACGAAUAAUGCAAGUCAUGAGACUCGAAAGAAAGGAAAAGUAAAGAAAAUAAUAAUAUACAAAUGUGUAUGACCUAAAGGAAUGCAUCAUAAUGGGUGCGGGGACUAAUGUUCGUGACUCAAUUUUCCCUUUAAUAGAGGGAAUACGAGUGUGCUAAGGCUAGAAAGCCAAACUCGUCAAUAUCCCAUACUCAAGGGGUUUUUUCUAGUCUAACCAAGCAAAUGUACUAACCUAGGUUUAAUACUUAGAUGAAACGCAAGUCUAAUGUCAUGUUUCAUACAAAGGGGUAAGUAAUAUACAUAUGAGGGAAAAUAUGGGGGAAGGGAUAUACGUAGAAGGAGGGAUGUCAUGCAAAAAAAAUGAUAAAAGACCCUAAAAAGUGAAAACAUGCAUGAGAUGGAGUGAUUUUAUCACACAAUCAUGAUCUAACGCUCGAGGGCUCCUAAGGGUCUAGCAUUGGACUAGCCCUUUUACUAAUACUCUCUCACAAGCAUUGGACUUGUGAGGGCUCGAGGGGAAAACCAUGACUAGCAUUGGACUAGCCACGGUAACGUGCAUUCAUCCACACAAUCAGAUACAAUAUUAAAACAAAUAGACAUGCAAAACACAUAGUUUCACAUAGCACGUAACACAUAAGCAUGCUUGUCUAGAUGCAGAAUCCUAGGAAACGAUUAAACACAUAGGCAUAUAGGCACACACAAGCACAUAGCACACAAGCCCUAUCUAUUACAAAAGGGGAUGCCUACUACAGUCUAAAGGGGAGAUAAAAUAAAUAAAUAAUUAAAAUAAAUAAAUCUUUAACUAUUACAAAUUUGGCAUCCAAGUGCCUUUCAAAUGAGCAAAAUUGAACUACAAUAAAUAUUCAAAACUAAAGCCAAUAAGUAAGUAAAUGAUAAAGAUAAAACACUUUCAACAGGCAUGCAAUUAAACACAUAAAGUCAUAUAGGGCAUGUAGGAUCCAAUAAAGUGAGAAAUAAGGGAUAAAACGUACCUCCCUUGAGGUGGGGCCCUAAUUGAAUGAAAUCACUUAUUUACCCUCCAAAAUAAAAGAAAAGGUCAAGGCAUCUCAAAUAAUCACGUUUAUACGAAAUUGAAUCAUUAAAUGCAUUCAAAUGCCUAAACAGUCCAUAUUCACAAGAUUAGGAUCCAAUUGAAAGGAAAAAGAAAGUUCAAGGGGGGCAAUUUGAUUGAUUUUUUAAUUAUUUGGGCCAUAGUAUAACAAAAAGGAACUUGGGGGGUUAAAGUGUAAUUUUUAGAAUUACUUUCCAUGCAUGCUACGAAGAAACAAAUUCUCAUCUCUGGUUUCCCUUUCUCUGCAGCUUACUGUGUUUCAUUACCAACCCAAACAUUACCAACAAACAUCGACUUUUGAAUCAAACGAUCACAAGACACUCCCCCAAUCAUCAACCAAGCCAAAUAUUACAUUUGUGUUGCAAGACCGAAUGAGAAAAAUCUGGUUUAGUGAUUGCUAGAAAAACAAAGUGCAGCAGUAGUUUUCGUAACAGCAAAACAAGAAAAUGCAGCAACAAUCUUUAACUCUUGUUUGAAAUGCCAAAAACAAAACGUUCAAGAAAUCAUGCUUAAGCUCAGACCCUGAAACAAACAAGAUGCCAAACAUGCUAUGAAUCAAACACUCAUCAGAGAAAACGCAUGCCAAGCUGAAGUUUUCCUUCCCACAACACUUUGUCUUCGACUUCAGCAUAUAGGAAACAACCAUGAAUAGCUUGCUGAAGCCUCCAACUUCAACUCUUAAAGACAUCAAAUUCCAAAUCAGAAAAUGAAAACCAAAUGCGUGGUUAAUAUUCGGGUCCCUCCCAAUUCAAAAUGUAUUCGCAAGGAAAUAAACUUCUGCACUGAUUUGCUUUUUUUUUUAACUUUGCAGGUGACCUGAUAGCAUGUGAUAAUCUUAACCAGAAAAAACAAUCUCAAAUAUUUAACAAGCUUCCUAAACUCAUCACUGAAAUAUAACAUUGAAUGCACAAACGAAGGAAAAAAAUCUGAGCAAAGGAGGAAUUCAUCAGACCCCAGAUUCAUUCAUUAGUUUCAAAACUAAUGACUUUCCAAACACAGCUUUAACACCAGAUGUUGUUCAUGGCAUUUCACUCAAGCAUAGACAACAAAAAACAAGCAAGUCAAACGAAGUCAUAGCUUCAGCAAAACGAAUACGUGAAAAUGACAGCCACUACAACCCAAAGUAAAACACAUGAAUUGGUCAAACGUUGCUGCAACAGAUUUGAGCAAGCCGAGAGUUGCAAACCUGUUGCAUUAGAAGCUCAAUCUAUUUCUAAGAAUCCAGAGCUACCCAACUACGAUAAAGGAUCUCACGAACAGGGGCAUAAGGCCAUAUUCAUCAGAAAUCAGCAAUAACAUCAUGUUCAUCAGAAAUCAGCAACAACAAAUCACAACCAAGAAUAAACGAACUAGAAAGCUGCAGAUCCUUACACAAAUAUCACCAGAUCUUCACAAAAUGGUAUGAAAAUGACAGGAAGAAAGGCUGGAGUUACCUACAAAUGUCGGUGAAAUAAAGCAAACGUGAAAUAUGUCCGAAAAAUGCAUGCAAAUUCCAGAAAUGAGAUUGAGAAUGCCGGCGCCGCAGAACUUCAGCGCUGAUGAAGUCGUCACCUUGGCUCCUGAUUUGGCUAUCUUCCUAUGGUUUUCCCUUCAAAAUUUCUGAAUGAAAAACACUCCCAUCACAUUGUAGAUGUUCCAGAUUACCCUAAAUCUCCAAUAAGGAGCCAAAUCCAUAGAAAAAAUUGCCUCCAAAGACAACAGAAAAUCAGCCUGGAUAGCAGAUUUUCUGGAAAAUUUUCUCUUCCCGCCGCCGCUCUUUCCCCUCGUUUUUCUCAGUUUUCUCCUCUAACUCUUCCCAGAUCUAACUCUCUCCCUCUCUUAUUUUGGUUUUCUUCCCUAUCCCAGAAAGCUCUCUAGUUUCCCCGGCUCCUUUCUUCUUCGUGUUCCCUUUUCGCAAACCUCAGCCGAAGCCUCCCUCUUUACUUCGGUCCUCCUGUUUUUCCCUCAACCAAAGACGAAAGCCCUCUGUUCUUUUCCUUCCCUUUUUCGUUUCCUAUGUAGCUCCUCCGAAAGCUUCUCCCUCAGUUUUUUCUUUUCCUUCUGCUUUUUCUUCCUCCUUCAGUCCAACGCUUUUUCUUUGUUUUCGUUCCUUUUCCCCGCAGCUUCUCUCUUUUCACCGUUUUCCCUCCUUCCGGGUCUCUAACUCAGCCGCCCUACUGUUUUUCUUUCUGUCAACCUCAGCCCUCCUCCUUUCUAGUUUCUCUCAGCCGUCCUUAGAUGCUCCCUUAGUUCUCUGCUGUUAUCUUUCUUUUCCCGUCGUUCUCCUUUUUGCCCCCCUUUUUCUCAGCCGCCCCUUCUUCCUUUUAUAACAAACAAAACACUAAACCCUCCUCUAAAGGGUUCUGAUGGAAGCCAAGUCAUUAGCCUUGUAGAUCAUCCGAUGGUGAACAAAAACAAGGAGUUGUUGUGCCUGCUUGAAAUGUUAUAUGAAGAAAUAGGCGCGGAUCCUGUGUAGCUCGGGUGCAUGAGCCUGUUUCCUUUUUUUUUCGGCAUUUUCAUUUUUUCAUUUUUCUCUUUUUCUUUUGUUUUUCUGAAAUUUAAUAUGAAGACAAAAUAAACCAGAACAAAAUAAAAUAAAAUAAAAAUUAAAACCCUAGAAUUGAAACAAAUAAACCCAUUAAAUUAAUUAAACAAAUAAAAUUAAAAGAUCAAAAAUUUGGUGUCUACACCAAAAUUUCAGUUUCAGUCGCUUUGCUAUUCACGUCUUCAUAUUCUGGUUCAUCUUCAGCAGCAACACUAUAAAAAUCCUCACUUUUUUGUUCAACAUCAGCACAUUUUCCUUGCUUGCCUGCAGUUUUUGGUGCUAUUUCUGGCCCAUUACUACUGUCUAAAUCUUUAGAAAACAGAUUCGGUACUCUCGGUGUCCAGUUGCUACUGCACCCUUUUGUAGUGUCUAAAUUUACUGGAUGAAUGUCAAUAUUUUCUCUACCAUCUUUUUCCACUUCAUCAGGGUCUAUACCUUUUCUAUGAUUAUAACAUCACUGUCUCUAUCCCUUUCGGCUUCAUCUCCCUUAGCUUGACUUAAGGGUGCUACAGCCUGUGGAUAACCUUGUGAGAAAACUCUAAGAAACACUUCUGCCACCCUAUGUGGUGGUAAUAUGUUCACCAUCAUCUCACAAUCCCUAUCACACAUACAAAAGACCAAGCCUGUAUCCAAUGUCAUCCCUGGUAGCAGAUAAUACCACCCAAAACCAUCUUCUACAUCAUACCCAAGUCUCUCUUCACAUUUGUCUAGAGCUACUAAUGACCACAUUUUUGGGUUGCAUCUACCUAUAAAAUCAACCAUUCCCCCUAUAUACUGCUUGUUAGGAGAGUCUGUGAAGGUCCCUUGAUGGUGUAUCUUUAAGGAGAAAGGUUCAGGCCAAAUUCCACUAUCACCAUUUCCUGGUUCAAAGAAAAAUUUUUUUAAUUCAAUAAUUAAUUUUUUGACACCUUUUACAGUGAAUCGGGACCACAAUGUCUUUAAUACAAGGAACAUUAGGGUUUGGACAAGAUAAACAUUGACUUAAAAAAGACCCCAAAUCAUUUUCAAGCCCAUACAUUCGACAUUAAACAAUUUUGUCUACCAUAAUUUAUCACUAACAUAUAACAUAUAGAGGUCAAUCUGGCCCUUUUUACAUUCCACAAUAUCACUACUAAACCUAACCGACAACAAUCAAAUAACCCAACUACUAUAUACGCUAUUAUCCAACAAGCAAACAAUGACCGUAAUAUCAUUUCUCUUACUGGGGCGGCCUUUCUCUUCUUGUUCUUCAAUGGCAACCUCAUUUCUCCAUCAAACCCUCUUCAAUGGCGAUCUUGAAUUUUCCAUGUUUACAAUAAAUUUCAUCUCUGACUCACGGUCACUAUCAUUUCAAGGGUAUAGACUAGUAGAAAUUUGAUAAUGUAUUGUUCACACCUUUUUCUCUCUCUCUCUCUGUGUUCAAAUCCAAGGUGAAGACGGCAGAAACAAAAACAAAGCUGUUUCGACUUAUUUUUCUUUUGCCCUUAUACCUAACGGGUGGCUAUUUUAGUUUUCAUGACUUAUCUAAUCUCACUAACGGCGCUUGUUUUGCACGCUCGAAGAACCCUGAUGAUUCUGUGGAGUCCGUCAACGAUUUUACUUAAUUGGGACGGAUUCAGUAGUUUGGGGACUUAAGUGUCUCAUUUACAAGUUUAGGGAUUAAAGUGAAAAUAGAGUAUAGUUUAGGGGGUCAAAAGGAAAUUUACCCGGUUUAAUUUGGUAUCAAAGACAGAGAAAGAGGAUCCAAGGCAUUUUAAAAAACGCGGGAAAGCCAAGCCAAGCUGCAAAUUCCCGCCAUUUCAUGUUACUAUUUCCGCCCCCAACUAAGCAAAACACCAAAAACAAAUACAAAGUCCACGCCUGCUACCGCCGCCGCCGCAGCAGCCACCGGUUUCCUCCUGAAAUAGAGCUCCCAUGGCUGAAACUCCAAAGAAAAGAUCCAAACAAACCCCUGAGCACCAACAGCAUGAUCUAUCUUCCUCAAAUGCCAUUACAAUCCUGCAACCCCAGUAGCCCUAGACCCCACCCCUGUCCGCCGAUCUUCCCGCCUUUACACCAACCCAACAGCGGCCACUGCUCCACCUCCUCCACCACCACGUUUCACCCGCCGUAAAUCCCUCAAUUUCACAACCACCACCCCACCCCCACCCCACCCCAAAACCCCCAAGAAACCAGCUCCCCAAAGUCAGGAAGAUGCUGCUAAGCAGAUUUCGCCUAUAUCCCCCGAUCGAUAUGAAACUAGGAGAAAAAGAAAAUUAGAUGAAGAAAAGAAUGCGGGUCUUGCGAAAAAUAAGGAUUUGAAAGGGGGAAGAAAAGGGUUUAUUAUAGAAAAGUGGUUUAUGAUGGGGGUGAGUUUUCUAUAGGGAUGAUGUCUAUGUGAAGAGGAGAGACAAUGCUGAAUCGGAUAAUGAGGAUCCUGAAGUGGAGGAGUGUGUGAUGUGCUUUAAGGCUGGGAGGGCGGUGAUGAUUGAGUGUGAUGAAUGCUUGGGGGGAUUUCAUCUCAAAUGUUUGAAACCACCUUUAAAGGAGGUUCCAGAGGGGGAUUGGAUUUGCAGGUUCUGCGAGGCAACAAAGUUGGGGAAAAAUGUUGAAUUGCCUGUGCCACCUGCAGGGAAGAAGAGGGCUAGGACUGCUAAGGAGAAGUUGCUUUCGAGUGAUUUGUGGGCAGCCCAUAUUGAAAGGUUUGGAAAACACUUUUCCAACCAAUGUUAUGUUUUGAUGAUUAUGCCUCAACUGGUUAAUGAUUCCUGAUUACGUUUACACUGGUGAUUUUUGAAUAUCGCAUAGUAUGUGGAAGGAAGUGGAUGGUACUUAUUGGUUUCGGUCUCGAUGGUAUAUUAUUCCUGAGGAGACUGCUGCUGGGAGACAGCCACACAAUUUAAGGAGGGAGCUUUACAGGACUAACGAAUUUGCUGAUGUUGAGGUAGUAACUGCAAUCCCCUAAUUCACCGUAUAGGUUCACUUUUUCCAGAUGCAAUUGCUUAUGCUUUCAUGAUAGCGGACUGCAUAUUUAUAGAUGUUGGAGAAGAACAGGUUUAUGCCAUGAUUUUUGCAUAAUGUUUUGCAUAGUCCCAAAGUGUUGCUCAGUAUUGUAUGCUGUGUUUCUUUUUUGUAAUGCUUGGAUAACUGUAUAUUGCAUUGUUAAUUACCAUUGUGUACUGAGACUGUUUCUUUUAUGCACAUAGAACCUGGUAAAGAGCAGUUUGUGGGCAUUUCAUGGAAUGUAACAAUUGUUUUAUGAGAUUAAACAAAGGCUGUUGAGAGUCUGGAUUUCUCUAACUAUGAAGGCAUCAUGUUUCUAAGGGGUUCUUUUAGGACACAUGGAAUUUUCUGUGUUGACAUUGACUCUGUAGUACUUGUUUCUCUAGAUGGAAUCUAUCAUUAGGCAUUGUUAUGUUAUGAACCCUAAAGAUUUUAGCAAGGCUGCUGAUGAAGGAGACGACAUUUUCCUGUGUGAAUAUGAGUAUGAUGUAUGUUGGCACAGUUUCAAACGCAUUGCAGAAAUCUCAAAUAAUGAAGAGGUAAGUGUUCCUAAACUCUGAACAACAUAAUUGGGGAUGGUAAUGCUUUUGCAUUGGACUUGAUUGAGACUGAUAUAUGCUUUUAUGAUUAAUAGGAUGCUGAAGAGGAUGAAAGUGAUAAGGACUGGAAUUCUUGCGAAAUUACGGGCUCUGAUUCUGAAGAUGACACAGACUAUAAAAAAGAGAAGAUUAAUGGCUCCCAGCGUGGACCCUCAUUUGGUCUCAUUUGGUCAUUCAUUGGCUGCUGUAUGAUCUUUCUUUUUUUUUUUUUUUAUAAAUCUCCUAAGUACUUAUUGGUAAUGGCAUCUAGUUGAAGCUGAUAGGCUGUUUUAAACUCUCUCAGAACUUGCGGAAGGGGCAAUUUUUUGGACUUCAAAAGAUUGGGGCAAAGAAAAUACCAGAACACACAAGAUGCCACAAACAAACAGAAAUUGGAAAAGCAAAAGCUAUGCUUCUACUGGCAUGCUUACCUAAGUCUCCACCUUGUAGGAAUAAGUGAGGAUGAUGCAGUAUAUUGUUUAUUUCUUGUGAUUCUUUGGUUAUCAAAAGAUGACAGGUCAUUCGAUGUAGAGAAAUGGAAGAAAUAACUGCAUUUAUCAAAGGAGCUGUAUCUGAUGGUCAAUGCCUCGGAAAAUGUCUUUAUAUUCAUGGAGUUCCUGGAACUGGGAAGGUAAGAUCUAGUAGCUAUUAUUGCAACAACAGUCAUAUUGUUUCUAGACAACACAUUAAAGUUAGCCACAUAAUGGUAUAAACUUAUUCUUGUUGUUGCCAACCAACAGACAAUGACUGUCCUUGCAGUAAUGAGGACCCUAAAAAUCGAAGUUGAUUCUGGGAAUAUCAAGCCUUAUUGCUUCGUUGAGAUCAAUGGUCUAAAGCUAGCCUCACCUGAAAAUAUCUACAGAGUAAGGUUUUUGGCGUUUAAUUUAUUUAGGACAUUCAUCUAUUGCCUGAUGACAUUCUCUUCUUUAAUUAUCUUCAGGUAAUCUAUGAAGCUUUAACUGGACACAGAGUUAGUUGGAAAAAGGCUCUACACUUAUUGAAUGAGCGAUUCUCAAAUGGGACGAAUUGGGAAGAAGAAAAUAACAAGCCUUGCAUCCUACUCAUAGAUGAACUUGAUCUUUUAGUAACCAGAAAUCAAUCGGUAAUUGGCAGGAGAUUUAAGAUUAGCUACGUUAACAUCUGCUUUCUACAAAAUUUAGAAAAUUUUUUCACCCAUAACCACCUUGUUUUUCCUGUCUUGGCUUGUAAAUCACAGGUUUUGUACAACAUUCUUGAUUGGCCUACCAAGCCACAUUCCAAACUAAUUGUGAUAGGUAAACACCCACAUUCUUGAUUGGUUCAACAUGGCAGGCACAAUUUGAUGAUAACAAAAGAAUGGGACUUUAUUUCUGCAUUUUGAAUAUCAUUCCAGGUAUAGCAAAUACCAUGGAUCUUCCUGAAAAGUUGCUUCCACGCAUCUCGAGUCGGAUGGGCAUACAGAGGCUUUGCUUUGGGCCCUAUAACUACCAGCAGCUUCAAGAAAUCAUAUCUAGUCGCCUCAAAGGAAUUGAUGCUUUUGAAAAACCAGCAAUUGAAUUUGCUUCUAGAAAGGUUUUUUUUUUUCUCUUUUUAUAAAUGAAUUAUGUUUAUGUGUACCUCAUAAAGAGUUCACCUGCUUUGAAGCUUUCAUUACUAUUGGUGUUUAUGUUUCUAAAUUUAGGUUGCUGCUGUCUCUGGUGAUGCUCGCCGUGCACUGGAGAUAUGUAGGCGAGCGGCAGAACUUGCAGAUUAUCGCUUAAGAAAAUCACAAUCACUUAAUGAUUCUGCUGGUACAAGUGAGACCUCUUAGAUGUUGCUUUCAUCAAUCUGAAGAUAUUUUAAUUAGAAUGCAUGUCAAUCCAGCAUCGGAUGAAGAAUUGUACCAAUAGAGAAAAAGGAAUACCAACUUAUUGGCUCUUGUGCUUCUCAUUUUCAGUUAAGAAGAAUCUGCAUAAGAAAUACCCUUGAACUAUUUCAUGUAAUUUGGCAAUAAAUCUUUUCCAUUUUUGUUUUCAUCAAAUGAAUCGACAAUUUCUAAGCACUUUACAAUAUCCAGAUAGACUGCUAUGAAUUGCAUGGGCAUGUGCUAUCCCGGUUCAGAAUGAUCCGUGAAAGGACAUAUAGUCCAUAUAACCUGUAAUCAGAUCUGAAAAUAAAGCAUUUCAUGGUAGAUUGUGUUGCAAAAAUUUUAUGGCAUGAAAUUCAGUAAUAUUGCUUAUUCUUUCUCUAAUCCAAAAUUGAUGAAGCCAAAGUUUUAGUGUCCUUGAAGUUUCUGCAAGAUAUCAUGGUUAUGCAAGUAUUGCCAUUUUUCAUCUUUCAGCAUUUACUUAUAUCAUCGAGUAUGAGAGGCAAGAUAAGAGCAGGCUGGCCUUCUAUUCAACUUUUGGUAAAUAAAAGAAUUUAAGACAACAAUUUGUGAAAUGAUGGACUUGGUAUUGGCCCACAUAAAGUACUUUCUGACUCCUAUUUUUUAUUUUUACAAUGUUAAUAUUGUAAAGAUUUCUAGAAAUGCUGGCUAAUUCCUUAGAAUGUAGAUGUGUAAAGUUUUAGUUUGGUUACAGAAACUUAUUAGGCUAAAAUGCAGGGAAAAGAGAGUCAACGAUGAAAAAUUUGCUUCAGGAUUUGUGGAGACAUAUAGGAAAAGAAUUUAGACAUUGAUGAAACUUCUGCCUGUUCUACCUCUAUCUAUGUGGCUAGAUAAGUGAAGUGAUGUUUAUAGUACUUGUCGAAAGACCUGGGGACAUUGACAGCACAGUAACAUGGCUGGUAUUAUGUGUAUUUUGUGACACCUUUUCAUCAGAGGCAGGCAAUUUAUUUGAAGAUUAAUAGUGAUAAGUUGCACACUUAGAAUUGGUGAUGUGAUAAUAUUUAGGACAAAAAGACAUCAAUAAUCUCGUUUUCUGCAACAGAUGGCUUUAAGAUUCAGGUCUGCACCUCUCUUUAGAUAUACCAAAUUGGAUGUCCAAUAGCUUCUUAUGGCAUCUAAGCCUCACAUGAUUUGGUGAACGAUUUGCUACCUGAUGCUGUAGUCAGAAGUACAGUUUUACACUAAAAUCAGUUUCUGUUCUUUUUGAAAGAGAAAAAGUACAGUUUAAUCCACAAUGUGAAAGUAGUAAAAGUACCUGUAGUUACUGCAGUUUUAUUAAUGAUUUUGCAGUUUUAAGUUCUCAAGUUUAAGAUAUUUAAAUCCUGCUUAUUUGUUCCACGCCAGAAAAAUGUGGAUUCACAGUUUCUUUGUGAACUUAUCAGGUUUCAAUGAAUCAAAACAGGCACUAAUAUAGGCUUAAGGCAGUCAAUUCAAAAGUUAAACAUAUUUCAUACUAUAAAAUUUGUUUCAAAGUAACUAACCAUUUAGUGACCUUGUUCUCAUGAUCUUGUCGUCUGAGAUUUUCUUUCAAGUCAUCCCAAGUAAACCAAUUUGUGGGGUUUUUGGUAUUACUGCUCAUGCAAACCCUAAUAAGGCUUCUAAGCAUCACAAUGAAGGUUGAUUCAUUUACCAUUAGCUGUCAAUUCUUUUGACGAACUUAAAUUUUGUGUAAAUUGAAGAAAGGUAAUUUGCAUCCCUUAAACAUUUAAAAAAAAAUCAAAGCCAUAUCAUCGGGAUAUUUGAAAUGAAGCAAGCGAUGUAUGAAAAGUUAACAAAAAAGUCUUUGUAUGGAGCUGUAAUGACACCAUAUGCUGGUAUUACAGUUUUCCUUUUGAUCUAUCUCUACACCUUCUCGCAACUAGCUAAUGAACUGUUAACAUCGACCACCAGCUUUGUGAAGAUAGAUUCUGUCAGCUAGCAGGUGCCAAAGGAUUAAGUUAACUACCUUACCUUACAGCUUUAUAGCUGUAAGCUUCAGUGAGGACAUUGAAGAACUAAUUAUUGUGAUCUACACUGUCUUUUCUGUUGCACAACAUCUACUGUCCCUUCUUGAUGAUUGAUAUAAUAUACAUACAUAUGUAUAUAUGGUCUUCAUUUAUAGCACCUAAUGAUGAAAAAACUUGGCUUUGCUGAAAUAAGCAGGCAAUUUUACCCCCGUUCCUUUAGAAAUUUUGGGGUUCAGGAAGUACAUUGUGCAUUGUCCCCUGUUCUGCCUGGUAUGCUAAUGUUGGUGAUGAAUAACUAGAACUUCAAAUGUGUAGAAUUCAUUUCAUUAAGAACUAUGCCUGGUCCUUAAAAACUUGUGCUCAGAUGACGAACCUGCAUGAUGCCAUUUGUUCAGGAAGAAGUCUUGUUGGUGUGGCAGAUGUAGAAGCAGCAGUAAAGGAAAUGUUCCAGGCUCCUCAUAUUCAAGUAAGUAUACAACUGUGAAGUAUCACGUGAACACUACUCCAUUACAGUUUUUAGAGGAAUACAUCAGUGAUGUCAAGGAAAUGCUGUGCCGCUGUCUUGAGGGUGGAUCCAAGUAUUUGAUGGUACUAGUUCCCUGACAGGGCUUGAGUAAUCAAGUUAUGGAUACUAAUGAAGUCUGUUUUGAUUGAAAUGCAACUUGAUACAGCUGGCUUAUUAUUAGAUGUGGUCAUAAAAGGCCAAAAUUUUCUUCCUUUUUUUUUUGAGGCUGGGAAGGGAGUUCUGCCUUUGUAUUCUUUAGAUCAUUAAGUGGUCCAUAUUUCUUUGAUGUUCACUUAUUAAUUGCAGUUUUCUUUUUAUAGCUAGUCUAUACAUUACUUACUGGAGAACCACCAUAUACACUGCUCAUACAGGCAUUAUUUAUGUAUUGACUUCGUUCGCAGGUAAUGAAAAGUUGUUCCAAACUGAGCAAAAUAUUCUUGGCAGCAAUGGUGCAUGAACUGUACAAAACUGGAUGGGUGAAACCAGCUUUGAAAAGGUUAUAUGGACCCUUUCAUUCUUUGAUUUUUAUUCUUCUUAGAAUGAUGGUCAUGAAUACAGCAGUACUAGUAUUGUUGUUGUUAGAGUUAAUGUUGUUAUUACUAUCAUUUUUGUAGUCUUACUCCUUGCUGCUGUGCUACCAUCUGAAUGCCUGAGUUAUGCAUCUUCACAUGGUUCCAAGCUGCCAAUUGCUUCCUUGGCACAUACAGCGCUAUCAUAUUUUGUUUGUCUUAUCUAUUACUUUUUCUAUUACCACAAGAUAGUAGAUACAACUUGCUGUUUCUUUGUGAUUUUUUUUGAUUCCGCCAAACUGUCCUUGGGAUUUCUUUUUCCUUCUUUGUUUUUGGAUGUGGCACCAGGAGUUGGGGAAAGGGGAUGGGGGAUUUAGCUUUUUCGGGCUGUUAGGGUAGCUUGACUAUAUUGUUUGGUAUGAAAUCUGAUAUUCUGCAUCCAGCCUCCAGCUGCUGCUGAGAGGUUGUUGAAUGUUAGUUGAUGCCACAGCAGCAGCUGGAAAGUAAAAGAUUACAUUCAGUGUCAUUCAAAAAUUGAAUCUUCCCAUUUUUAUCAGGUUUUACUGUUUCUGUUUUGUGUUGACUUUUCUUUUAAGUUUUUAAAGAUUUUUUUUAAAUUAUAUUCUGUGGGAGAGGCUAUAAUAUUAUAUUGCUCUUCAGCAUAAUGUCCGUAAAUGCUUGCUGUAUAUGCAGUUGGCAAUGACAGUUUCAUGCCUGUGUACAAGCAACGGUGAAGCAUUUCCAGGAUUUGACACACUCUUUAGAGUUGGGUAAGAUGCGUAAAUAGUUGUAUUUCCUUCAAUCAUAUGAACCAAAGUAUAUCGUCAGCCAUAUUCUUGUAGACCUUUUAUUGAAAUGACUUCAUUUAUGUGCUCAAAGACACGAAAUAAGUGUGACAUUUGUGUCUUUGCCAUGUAUGCACUUACUAAUUAGCAAAGAAGAUUUAGACCGAAUUUGAAGUUCUAAUGUGCCCCAGAGUUAAAGUUGAGGAAUUUUCUUUGCACUCCUUGUGUUUGAUAUUGGAUCUAAAAAGGAUUUCUUUGUUUUUGUUCCUUUCUUCUGUAGUUGAAAAAUCAAAGACCUUUUUUCCGUGUUACCUUGAUCAUUCAGAGGCUUAUUGUUAUUGAUAACAUAAGAGUGUCUCUGUACAUUGCUGGAAUUUGCAUCUUCGUUUCAUUUUAGUGAGCAUCGAAUUCUCCAUUAGAAAAUUAUAGAUGGUGAAAAAACUUGAGCUGACAUGUAGUGAGGUAAUCUAUGUGUGUUGAGUCCAUGUCAGAUGAAUUUAAAUCCUAUUUACCUCUAGUGUUUCUAAUAUUGUGGCAGAUGUAAGCUUGGGAAUGUCGAAUUAUAUUAUGUGAAGCGGGAGUCAGACACAAAUUGCAAAAAUUGCAACUCAAUUUCCCAAGGUCAGUCAUCACCAAGCCCUUUGUUUUAACUGAAUAAUCAUUAUUCCUCUGAGCUUACUUUCCCAACUUUAACAAGUUUCAAUUAACUGCUGUCUGAUACUGUGCUUGUGGCAUCCAGAGGUCUUGAAAAAAAGUGUAAUCCAGUUUUACUAAUUAGGGUGUCUAAGAGCCAAAGGCAGAAAACUUUGUCAGCUUGGUCAAUACUUGUGAUUUUAGUUGAAGACGUAUGUUCAAUGCCACAUCAUUGCAAAUCAAAAUACCGGCCAUCAAAUGGAUAAAUGGAUUGACUGGUGCUGACAUAGGAUUUCAUUUUGUUACCAUUCAGUUAGAUGACUCUCCUGCAUAGCAUCUCUUGAAGCUGGCAAUUGUAGAAAAGAAAUAAAAAUAAAAACCGAAUUUAGGUGUGUGGGAGACUACAUGACAGGUCGACAGUUAGUUGUCUAUGCCUCUGAUUUGAUAUUAGUUUGUGUAACAAAAAUUUAAGAUGACAAAUAUAAUUGGCCUCAUUCAGGAUGGAACUAGUAUAAUGGUCCAAAGUUUGUGCCUGCAACAUUUCAAUUUUUCAUAUACAAUGAAUAUAUGUGCCUGCAGCAUUCCACUUUUUUGCAUCUGAAUAUUAUGUACAUUGAAACUAGAUUACAGUCCUGAUGUUUCUGUUGAAUUUUGCAGUGAUGAUGUGACUUUUGCCCUCAAAGACAGCAAAGACCUACCAUGGUUGGCUAAAUACCUGUAAUCACAAAUAGUGAGAUGCUAAUGCAUUCUUUCCCGCUUGUGUACUACAGAUUUAUUCUUUUUACGUUUUCUAAAACCCUCUCAAUUUUGCAAAUUCAUUUUUAUUUUGGGAUCUAAAUCCCUGUUAUGAUUGUAGAAGUGGGAUUAUAAUUAUCGGCCUUCCACAUGGCAAGGCACUUAUCAGAUGUGCACUUCUUAGUUUUGAUAGGCAUUUAUAUAUGCUUUUUCCUGCAAAUGACUAAACUUUUUAUAUCGAAUUGAUGAGUAUUUAGUUGCAAUGAAUUUUAGCGUCAGUGCAUGGGUGUUUCUUGAAAUAUUUUAACGGAACUUUAUCAUAGAUGUUUCUGAAAAAAUCUACGGGUGGGAACCGUUGCUACAGGGAUAGGGUGGCAAGGAUGGAAAUGUGAGGUGUUUUCUGGUGUUUGGAUUGGGUACUUAUUGUUUAUCUAGAUCUGUUUUAUAGAAACUAGUGUUUAUGUAGCACCUUGCCUGCAUUAGCACCUUUGAUGUCUUCGCUAUAUCCAUGAUACACGGUUUAUCUUUAAAGAAAGGGAAAUAAGACUCCCAUGUCUGUAGUCUUUCAGGUGACAAGGCUUCUGGACCAUCUAAGUAAUGCCAAGAAGCUUUUCUGUAUUUUUGCCAUCACAGCACUUGUGCUGCAUGGAGUCCAAGUUCUACUUGAGCUAACAAUUUCCUGUGUCAUCUGUAUCCAUUAUGAUAUUAGGCACAAUGCAAAUUUCAGAUCCUUUUAUUCUCAAUAAUCUUUAGCACGUCCAAGGAGAGGUUUUGAAUUUGAACCUUUAGAACUUUAGUGUUAGUAUGUGUUUUUGCACUCAAAAUGUCAAUGCAAGUUUGUUUCUAAUCUUUUCCAAAGUGAAACCAUACUUGUCUCGCUGUUAGGAAAUUCUGUUAUGACACUGGGGAUACCCAAGUAAUUAUCAAAGGUCAUUUGUCGAUUCCUAGACCAGAAGAGAAGAUUAGGCUCUGAGUCUGAGCAUGUGGGUACGUGUUCUUGGAGAAGAACAUCUUUCAUUUCUCUAGGUUGAUAGAUAGGCCAAACCUUAGGUAAAAAUUGUCUAGAACACUUUUUGCUGUAUUUAUAGAACGUUCUCCACAACUAAAGAACAAAAUUAGGUCAUCUGCAAUCAUGCAGUGUGAGAUGACAGGCCCAAUCUUUAAAGGCUCCCAUUUUUCUGGCUCGCUGCUUCUGUCAUACAUAUGGAAAUAUACAUAUGGAGAAAUGGACCCCCUUGUCUGAUUACCCUAAAAAGAAUUAUCCAUUUAGAGGGACAGGUUCACGGAUUAUUAAGAAGUCAAAAGGGAUUAAAUCGUAUUUUUAUAUUUUAAGAGAAGGGGAAGUCAAAAGGGAUUAAAUCGUAUUUUUAUAUUUUAAGAGAAGGGGAUAGGUUCAACGAGAUGACUAACAUGUCAAAGGAAUCUAAAUACUUCUUGAACCAAAUAUGUGCACUAAAGGACCCGGUGAAUUUGAAAGGUUAAGAAUUUCUAGUGUUUGAUAUUUGACAAGAAGAUUUGAUCUCCCAACCAACAUCCCAAUAGGAACUUAAAGACCCUCUUGAUGGACACUAGACCAAUGGUUCAAGUUAAGGCCUCAUGAAACUCCAUUCAAAUUUGUCAUAAGCAUUUUCCAGGUUUAUUUUUAAAGCACAAUUUCCUAUUUUUCUCUCUCUUUGCUAGGAAUCUUUUUCAACACUUAACGCAGCAGGAAACACAUUAAACAAAAAUGUAGAACUCAUUUUACUCGUGAUCAUGAGAGUUUUUUUCUAUUCAAUUUGUUGGUACCGUUAGAAGAUUAUUGCUAAGUAUCUUGAGACUCAAUGAGAGCAGAGAUAAGCGAGCUUGGACAUCAUUUAUAGGAGAGCUGACAAUUAUACAAGAAUCCUGGUCUCCCAGAUUUUACACAGAUGUUUAGUAGAACAACUCCAAACUGUUAUCGUUUGAAAAAAAAAAAAAAAAAAAAAAGAACAGCUCCAAACUUGAAAGUGAAAGCAGGCACUAAUGAGGUUGACCAAACCAGUGUAACUCAAGAGCCUACAUUUAUCUUUCCCUUCUCAUUUAGUUUGUUGAUGUUAAUAAACUUAAAUUGUUCAUUUUGUGAAGCAUUUAUUUGUGAAUUACUUAAAAGAUUUAAUAAUAUGUUUGCACCAUAACUAACAAAACUAGAGAUGUAAACGAAUCUAAUUAAACUGAACACCCUAAUGUUCAAUCUUAUUUGAUUAUUUUAUGAGCUUGAAUUUUUGUUCAAAUUUAUUGUCAAACAGAAUUUGAACAAGUUUCUUUAUUGAAUUUGAAUGUUAUCGAAUAAAAGAUGUUAUUCAAAUUUAGUUUGACUAGUCAAUAACCAAUCUCAUACGAAACUCUUAUCAAACCGAACUUGAUUUAAGUCUCGAGUAAUUUGAUUCAUUUUUCAGCUCUAAACAAAACCAACACUCUAUACAUCAAACUAUUAUCUUCACAGCAGAGAUGUACUCCUUUGUCUUCUUAAUACAACGUUAAGAUUAUCUUUUCUAUUUUUACUAUUUUUUUUCAUUUCUUAGUUACGACCUUUUUUCCAAUUAGCUUUGCACUUUUCGUCAACAAACUAUUGACUUAAAUUUCUUGCGCUGUUUGAGCAUAAGCUUUUAUCUGUUCCAGAUUUUGUAAGAAUGGUAGAAUUAAUUUUAGAAUAGUUACAUGUAACCAUAAUGAUUAUUAUAAUAAAAAUGUCAAGAUUAAAAGUCUACAUACACUUUUCGCGUGCGUGUUUACACACACUUGCUAAAACCUACAAUAGUGGGUAUACUUAGUAGUAAUAAAAAGAUAAUACAUGCAUCUGGUAUACAAAUCUGAGUCGUUACUUUUUUAACUUGUCAAACUCCAUCGACUUUUGAAGUCGAAUUUGAAUUCUGUUUCUAAGCAUUUAAUCAACAAUUUGCUAGAAGGUUAACCGUGUAAACAUGUAACGAGGAAGAUGUUGGAAGCCACUCAUACUACAGCAGGAGAAAACUGCAUCAUACAAGAUGUUAAAGCAAUUACCUUUUACGAACUGUAGCAUUUAUCUUCAUGAAGUACAAUUUAAUCCUACUACGAAACACAAAACUGCAAAUUUAUGCAUUUGACAGCUGCAGAUUCAGAGCAGGUUGCUGCGUAAAAGAGGAGGUCCUCUGCCACAAUGGCCGGCCCAGAAUGGCACUUCCAUGGACAGCAAGGUAGGCGGCAU
rnacentral:lncRNA from 1 species